GUUCUCCUAGCUACGUUUACUCUUCUAACAACAAAGUCAUUGGAAUAAGGAAAACCAUGGUGUUUUACAUAGGAAAAGCUCCAUCUGGAAGGAAAACCAAAUGGAAGAUGCAUGAAUAUAAAGCCAUUCAACAAUCUGACCAAUCCAAUACAAACCCUCCUAAGGUAUAUUGGAAAAACUAGAACUCGUUAGUAUGAUUAGUAUUAAUACUAAUCAUGCUAAUGAGUUCUUAUUUUUCUUCCAUUCCUUUUUUUUCCAUUCCUUUUUGGAUCGUGUUUGAGGUUUGCAUUGGUUAUGUUUGACCGUGAUUCUUAAAUAAUGUCACAUUUUGAAGUGUGAUUGAACCGUAAGAUAUUUAUCAUAAAUUUAUAACUUAAAAAGUGAUGUGCUACAACAAUAAGAUUGUGAUGUCAUAUUUCGAUUUUUUAGCAUGUACAAUGCUACUAAAUGCGAUUAAAGUCAUAUUGGUCAUAUUUGACUGCGAUUUUAUACAAUAUAUAAUAAAUUUUGACGUGGUCAAAGUUUGAUCACGAUAUAGAACUGUAGUCAUAAAUUCACAUGUUAUCAUAACCUUAAUUUUUUAAUUUUUCAAUUGAUCAAUAAUUUAUUUUGGUGUGUUGUAGCUGCGACACGAAUUCAGCUUGUGUCGCGUUUAUGUGAUAUCGGGAAGCUUUAGUUCGUUUGAUCGAAGACCAUUAGAGAGGCCAAUGACGGAGUUACAACAUGCUGCUUCAACAAGUACUCAACAAGUGGUGGCAGAGCUCAAUGGAUCAAACUCGUAUGCAACUUCUCGAGGGAUAGAGAGAGACCAUGAUGCUUCUCUUAAUAUUGGAGGGUCAAGUGGCACAAAUUGGAAUGAUGUACCAAAUAAUGGGGUUGAUGAACCUGAACCUAUUUGGGAAUGGGAACAACUAAAUUGGAUCUAACCUUUUAAGUCAAAACAUGCAUAUACCUUGCAAGACCUCUUCUUGUGGAUGUGGUUGGUAAACAAAGACCAAGACAAUCAUCUAAAUGUUGGGCAUAAUUAAAUCCUAAACCAGGAAUUUGUUUACAAUAGAAAAAAGUAAUAUCUUGUCAUUCUUUUAGAAGUAAUCACAUACUAUAUUUAUGUUUUUUUUUUAAGGAAGACUAUAUUUUCCUUAUGUUAUAGUAUGAAGUUUUCAAAGGAUGAUUAAUCUUUGUAGAAAACCAUAGAUUCUGCUCUCCAAAACACAUUAAUGUUUUGAAUAUUUCUCCAUCUCAAGUGUAAUGUCGUUUGUAAAAAGACUAUACGGUGAUAAUAGGCUAGACGUAAAAGAGGCUCAUAUCUUGGUCUAUAUUAAGUUUAAAUUAGAUAUUUUUUAGAAUAGACGAUGUUAAGGCAUUUUAGAAGUCUAUUUAACUAAAUACUGCAAUCCGAAAAAAAAUAUUCAAAACACAUGUAUAUUUCUUUCUUUCUUUGGUGGAAAGGGUAGGCAUUUGUCAAUAGGUGGUAGGGUGGUCCUUACUAAUUUUAUCUUGAACAGUUAUCGCUUUUCUACAUCUCAUUUUUUAAAGCUCCAAAAGAAUUUAUCAAAAUACAAAGAAGAUUCUUGUGGGGUGGGGGCUUGAAAAAUAUGUAUCUCUUCUAAGCAAGUGGUUGUGUUAGGCAAGAUUUCUCAAUCCAGAAGGAGCCACAUUUGGAAGGCAAGAUUCUUUAUGGUGGCAUGUUCAACACUAGAUUUGGACAAUUUAGAAUCAAAUUGGUUUUCCUAGGUGGUGCAAAAAGAGCUUGGAAAUGACGUUAAUAUUUCUUUUUGGAAGGAUUGGUGGAUCGGAGAGCAACCAUUGUAUUUAUGUUUUCCACAGCUAGUUAAUCUAUUAUCAAAUAACGACUUAAUGUUGCAGAUUCCGGUUAUUGGUGGAAAACAAAUGCUUUUGGACGUGGAAUUGGAACAUGCCGAAGUUAAUGUUGCUAAUGAGAUUUAUUGAUCCAAUAGUUGAAAUUAGCUUUUACAUAGUGCAAGAUUCGUCUCACUUGUGCAUUAUAAAAUUAACCUCAAACAAUACGUAUUGUUCAAAACAUUUUUUAUAAUGUGGGAUCAAAGGAUAUCCAAUGGACUAUACUCAUAGUUGGUGUGACCUUUUUUGUUUCUUAUAAACUAACUCUAGUCUCUAGUAUAGUAUCCCUAAAAAACAAAACUCUCUAUUGAUCAAAUUUUUUCAAGAAGUAAAAAUAUAGUAUAGUAGUGUCGUUAAAUGACAUCAUUAAUUAACUUCAGGUUCGUCGUAUCUGCAACCAAUUUAAGCUUGCGCCAAAAUUGUAUGACAAAGGAAAAGAAUCAUUUUGGUGCUCUCAGUUUAUGAUUCCUUUUUGUCUCCAUACACAUCUUUUUCAUUACCAAACUUCUCUUUACUGUUCUGUUCAUUAAUAUUACCAAAAACAAAAUAUCACAGUUGUUAUAGUCCUCUUUUCCACACAAUCAUUUCUCCUUCAAUCUGACCACAAUCACAAAACAAACAAAAAACACCCUUCCGCAAAAGAUGGGAACUAGUCUUAUGUUAAUUUCUCCACCGCCUCCAACAAAAACUCACCAACUCACACCUUCAACAUUCCCUUUCCUCAAAACCCAUCAAACAAUAUCACUUCCUUCUUCAAGAAAAACUAAUACCAUGAUCAACAGUACCAAAAAGUUUGGAAAUUUCCUUGACUUAAAAUCCGAGUAUCAACCCGAAGCCUUAGAUUUCGAUCUUCCAUGGCACCACCCUUCUGAUCGUUCUCAAUUCGACGUGAUCAUAGUCGGUGCUGGCCCUGCAGGAAUUCGCCUUGCGGAACAAGUUUCCCUUUAUGGAAUCAAGGUUUGUUGUGUUGAUCCUAACCCUCUAUCUAUGUGGCCAAAUAACUAUGGUGUGUGGUUGGAUGAGUUUGAAGGACUUGGGCUAGAAGAUUGUUUAGAUAAAACAUGGCCUAUGGCUUCUAUUUAUAUCGAUGAUAACAAAACAAAGUAUUUGGAUCGUUGCUAUGGAAGGGUUAGUAGGAAGAAACUUAAGGAGAAAUUGGUUAAAGGUUGUGUUUUUAACGGAGUUAGAUUUUACAAGGCUAAAGUAUGGGAGAUUAAGCAUCAUGAGUUUGAGUCUAUUGUUGUUUGUGAUGAUGGAACAAAGUUAAAAGGGAGUUUAGUUGUUGAUGCUAGUGGUUUUGGUAGUAAUUUUACAGAUUAUGAUAAUCAUAAGUUGAGAAAGAAAAACUAUGGUUGUCAAAUUGCUCAUGGAGUUUUGGUUGAAGUUGAUGGUCACCCUUUUGAUUUGGAUAAAAUGGUUUUGAUGGAUUGGAGAGAUUCCCAUUUGGGAAAUGAACCUUAUUUGAGAGAUGGUAAUUCAAAGUUUCCAACUUUUUUGUAUGCUAUGCCAUUUAGUUCCAAUUUGAUUUUUCUUGAAGAAACUUCGCUUGUUAGUCGUCCGGUUUUGUCUUACAUGGAUGUGAAGAGAAGAAUGGUUGCAAGGUUAAGGCAUUUGGGAAUUAAUGUGAAGAGGGUAUUGGAAGAUGAAAAGUGUUUGAUUCCAAUGGGAGGACCUUUACCAAGGAUAUCUCAAAAUGUGAUGCCAUUUGGUGGAAAUUCUGGUAUAGUUCAUCCUUCAACUGGAUACAUGGUGGCUAGAACAAUGGCACUAGCACCUAUUGUAGCUGCUUCUAUUAACGAGUGUCUUGGCUCUACAAGAAUGAUAAGAGGGAAAAAUCUUUAUGCUAAUGUUUGGAAUAGUAUGUGGCCUAUUGAGAGAAGAUUUGUUAGGGAAUGUUACUGUUUUGGAAUGGAGACUUUGUUGAAGCUUGAUUUGAAUGAGACUAGAAGUUUCUUUGAUGCAUUCUUUGAUUUGAAACCUUAUUACUGGCAAGGGUUUUUGUCUUCAAAAUUGAGUUUAAAGGACUUUGCUUUGUUAAGCUUAUCACUCUUUGGACAUGCCUCAAAUUCAUCUAGGUUUGAUAUUGUCACAAAGUGUCCUGUUCCAUUGGCUCAAUUGAUUGGUAAUAUUGCUUUAGAAUCUAUAGGAUGAUGGAAGGUUUUGAAAUACAAAUUUAUGGUUUGUUCCCGUCAUAGCUGAACUUUAAAAUUGAUCUAUUGAAUUAUCAAUAAUAAUAUCAUAGUUUACUAGUUGAUAAUUAGUACAUUGAAUUGAAUUUGUUAUUGACAUCCACUGCUUGAAAUAUCUAGCAACCACUAGAUAUAAGAACAUGGUUGGUUUUAUAAAUUGUUCUGUUGUUAUGUAUUUUUUUGUUUUUUAACUAUCAUUUUGUUUUUACUUGUUUUCAAAUAUUACACGUGAAACAAAAAAUUUAGCACAAGAUGAACCAAAAAUGAGCUGCAUAGUAUCAGAAUUCAACAAGGUACUAACACAUGAAAUAAUUAGCAACAUAGGGGAGUGGAUUAAUAAUGGGUGGUCAUAGAGGCUAUCUUGGAAGCGUAAUGCUAUUGAUUGGGAGGCCUAACUGGUGCAGAAUUUGAAUACGCUGCUGCUGUCAGCGUCUCCAAGGCAGGACCAGCCUGAUACUGGGUCUGGAAACUAGAGUCUACACAGAGAUUCAGCUGCAAAAGCUGAUGUAGAAUGCUGUCAGAUUUAUAUGCAGGCGACGAGUUUAAAGUAGCAUAUCACCUAAUUUGGCGAUGUGUCGAAAGUCCAGGUUUUCGUGUGGAAGCUCCUGCAGAAGAGGCUGCAGUCAAUGUUGAAUUUAAUCACAAGAAACAUUAUGCCUGCGGAUCAUAAUUCAUCCUUUGUGUUCUGUUCUGACAAUAAUUAGAGCGAGGAACAUCUAUUCUUCGGCUGUCAGUGAAGUUUUGUGGUUUGGUUGGAGUUUUAUCAGUGGAUUGGAGUGUCAAUUGUAACUCAUGUAGAUCCUGUGGUUCAUCUGCUGCAGCAUAAUGUGUCUUUAUGGGGAGUGAAAAACAAAAGGCUCGCUCGGUCUGUUGUUGUGGUGAGCGGUUGUUUGGUCUCUAUGGAUUGCUAGAAAUAAUAUAAUUUUUAUGGACAGUAUUCCUAAUGUGUUCAAUCUCUUAGUUGGAAAUGAAUGUCGUCGAAAAUAGGUAGCAGACCGAAAAUGACAUUCUCUGGCUGGAGUUUAUGCUAUUUAGAAUGUUAUAAAAGUUGAACAUUGUGUAUUGGGGUUGAGUACCUUAUGUACUCAUAUGCAUCUUAUUUGAAUUAGAGCUUCUAUUUCAGUUUUUCAAUAUAUUAAUUACUUUUCUGAUAAUGAAAAUUAAAAUCAAAGCUAAAUUUCACCAUUGGGUUUUAGGUGCAAAAGUGGAACAUCUGAACAUGGCAUAUUCUCAUGCACAUGUUAUUUCGACUUAGAGCUUCUACAAAUUACUUGUAUCACCUAGGAGGAGCAUGCCAUUGGUUGGAUAAUAGGCUUUCACUUUAUGUGGCUCUCUAUUUCAUGAUAAGCUUUAGAGAAACUAAAGUAGUAAUAUAGACAUUAAAGUAAUAACGUUGAUUCCAAAACAAAGAAUACCAAUAUAUUUUUACAAUUUUCUUUUUCUAAUCCUAAACUGUCACUUCUAACCCAAAUAACACCCCUGCGUGCAUAGUGAUUCCAUUGUUGACAAAAUAAAUGUCCUUCAUCUUCUUAAAAGCUUGCCAUGUCAACAAACUAUCUGACGCGGCUUGAUGAGAGUUUCCGACCGCCCGGCUGACCUUGAGUUUAGUGGCAACACGUUCCAGACCACCAUAUAAGUUGCAGAAUUUGAUCAUAUACUUCAUAUCAUAGACAUUCUGUCCAAAUAUUUGUGUUAAGAUGCUUAAGAAUUCCUCCAAUCGAGACGGUAAGUAAUUCUGAGUCAAAAUCUUAACUAGAUACCCAAAAUCAUAUGAGCUGUGAAAUGUAACCCAAGAAACUCCACUGUUGACUAGUCCAGACUUCAGUCUGAAUAAUUUAGCAAAUUCUAGAGAAUCGACACCGUAAAUUAAAUUACGUUUAAAAUCGAUGCCUUGACGACGAAGCAAUUCGAUAGAGUCUGGAUUUUGAAGAUCACGGUCCACGUCAAAAUCUUUGAAAUUAAAUUCCCAAAUAUAGCUGUAUGCAACAUCUCCAGGUAGGUUACCAUUUGCAUCAGUGAGAGUAAGACCUAGUUGAAUCAAGUUGAGAUUAUCCACGUUAGCCUUCAAGAAACUGUACUGUUCUGAUGGAUCCAUAUGGCGGAGGUGAUACGGUAUAUUGGGAUCAAAGUUAGGUGCAACGACGACACCAGGAAACUCGGUAUCCAUUGAUACAUAGGGAAACAUGUGAACGAAAUCUCUUAUAAGAUCAAAUUCACGCUCCAGAUUUUCAGCCCACACCUGACGAAUCUUAAUAGGUUUAUUUGAAGCAUCCUCCUCCUUCACUUUGGUCAUGAUGAUGGAAUUUCUUCAACGUAACUCUCGAUUUGAACUUCAACAACUCUCAGAGCCGCUUCUCAAUAGAGUUAUUUUUUUCCUUUCUUUUGCGAUUUGAUUUUAGGUUAUGAGGGUGGGUGGUUUUAUAUUUAUACAAAGAGGAAAGUUGUUACUUGGAAAGUGGGGAAGUGAUUGAUAUCAGUUUAUAAAUUUUGGAUCGGUUAUAAGUGAUUUGAUUUGAUUUACUUUUAUUCAUCAGAAUAGUAGGAUUUUUGUUUUCUUUUAUUUAACUUCUAGAAAAAAAGAUUUUAUUAUAUUUUUCCACAAAAUAAUGAUUUGAUUUUUUUUUUAUGAAUGAAAGCUUUUAUUUUUACAGAAUUUGAUUUUCUUAAAGAAAAAAAUUGUUUUUUUAUUCAUACUUAGUAUAUCAUUUUCUUUUUAAUUGGUUUAAAUAUUUGUAAAUUUUUAAACCAAGAAAUUUGACUCAAGUAGUCAACAAACGCUACUAAAGAUGAUUUUCUCAUGAGAUUAUGGACUCAUAACGAAUCCUUAUUAUACUUUUUUUUAUCUUCUGAACAAAUUCCGAAUUACUAGGGCCCUUAUUUCCUCAAAACCAAAGUUUAACACACAAAGGAAACAUUUAUAAUUUUGCAUAUCUCUUUUAUAUUAACAUAAAUAUAUAGUGAAAUAUUCUUUAAAAAAAUAUAUAAUGAAAUAUUAUAACUAAGAGUCCUUUUCAUGGUUAAGGUAUGAUAGAAAUUGAUAAGAUAGUUGGAUAACGAUAUAUGAUAAGAUCGAAAAUUUUAGAAAUAAUUAUAUUAGUAAUAGAUAAAUAUUCAUUGUGUCGAAAAAAAAUUAGCUAUAUUUUUAUACUUCGAUAACUUUCAUAUCAAUUUUAUUUUUUCAAUUAAAACAUUUUUUUAUUUUUUAAUUCUAAAUUAUAUUUAAUUUUAAUUUCUAUAAAUUACAUAAAACAGCAUCAUUCCAUCCUUCCUUAAAAAAAAAAAAAAAGCAAUAUUUCCCCAAAUUAGAUAUAACUUUUGAGUUUACUAUUAAAUAUAUUUAUUUAUUUACAUUAUUUUAUAUUUGAUAAUAUUUUAUUUUUUAUUUUAAUUAUUAUUUUUUAUGAAUAGAAAUAUAACUGGGUAUCUAGAAUUCACACUGCUCACACACAUAUCAACCAUUUACACAAGACUUCGAUUAUAUUUUGAACAAUUUUUUACCUUCCAAACUAUAUUUUAUAACAAUAAGGAAAAAGAUAUUUUUUAUCAUAUCAUGUUGUUUUAAUGGAACUUUAGAAUUUCUUGAGGUAUAGUUUUAUCAUUUAUUAUGAUCUUAUUUAAGUCGAAAAAUUAAUUUCUACAGUUGUCAUACAACUAUCCAAUUAAAAAAAGAAAAAAAUCAACUCCACUUCACAAUAAAAAUUUCACUAAGUAUAGAAAAAUAAGGUCUGGUCACCUUGGAUUCUCACACCCCUACCCUCAAACCAUCCGCUGGUGUGCAAUUUGUUGUAUUCAGAUUUAAACGCAUGGAAUCUAAACAUAAUCAGUGCCAAUUUUUCCAUAGCAGAUGCAAAACUAUUCUUAGUAUUCCUCUUCGUGCUCGCUGCCUCCAAUAUACUCGAGUAUGGAAACACUCUUUUCAUUUUGUAUAUUGAUUGAUAAGCGGCAAAUUACGUCAUAUUUUAUAGCAUUUAUCAACUUGUUUUGUAAGUAAUUCAAUAAAAAAAAAAAAAAAAACAAUUUUAUAUAAAUAUAAUUUAUAUUUGUAAACUAUGUCAGAAAGCUAUUAUGUAUGUUUCCCAUACCUUUUUAUAGGUUUUGGACAUGACUACGCCAAUAUAUAUCAAAGUAAGACAAGCACAUGCGCCAAGAUCUAAGUCAAAACAUCACAAAGACAUCUCCAUCAAGAAGAUUUUGAUUUUUUUCUUGAAUAUGAAACCUUGAACCUUCAUCUUUAAAUUUAAAUUAUGUCUCUUGUCUUAUGAUAGAGGAGCACCCAUUUAAAUUAUAUGGUUUUGUUCAAGUUGGGGAGAGAAAGGAGGCUUACUUGUAAGACAAUUAACAUGGUGAAUUUUCAAAAUACUAUCUUGAUAACAAUUAGAAUAAUGAAAAGAAAAAGAAAAGAAAAAAAAAAGAAAUAAGUUGUCAAAGGUAGUGUAUUACAAAUGUUUAUAUCACCAAAGGAUUGUAAAAGAGGAGAUUUGUGAUUGUAACUAGUUUUGUUUCUUGUAUAAUAUCAAAUGUAUGAAUGCCCCUCUAUACCAAGGUUACUUUGAUUCAAAUGCUCAUGCAAAUGACACUUCUUUGUAACCAUUACAACUCUCAAAAAGACCUUAGUGAUAUAUGAUUUAGUGCUUUCAAACUGAUAUGCUUAGAUGAAUGCCUAGCUUGAUUAGAAUGUUAGCAUAAUUGUCGGAUGUGAGUUCAAGUUCACAAAUGUUCUUCAAUUAUUUAUUUUUUAAGAAAAGGUUCUUCAAUUUUAUUAUUUACUUGUAAAUAAGUGUGUUAGGUGUGAUUCAUUAGUGAUUAUGUUGUUGACUUGGAAUGUAUGAAAUGAAUUAAGUGUAUUGGACGAACGCAUAAAAAGAGGUCUAUAGAUACAAUCCAAACAGCAGAAAAAUCCUCUAAGAAGCUUUAGAUCAAUUCACAGUAUGCCAGCAGAAUGAAUUCAAACAUAAAUUCAGAUUUUAUUUUAACAUGUUCAAUCAUUUGAUAAAUUCUAAACAAAUAUUACCCAUCAUUUUAGCCAAUAGCUCAGGACACUUUCUGGCAAUAGCAAACCUAGAUGGAUUUGAGGCAUGUGCAAACAAUGACAUACUCAACCAAACAAUGUCAUUUAAAGUCAAGCUUGAAGAGAGGAACCCUUGCAUGUAAUAAGGUUUUAACUCAAAGAAUGCAUCAAAAAAUUGCCUAGUUUCAUUCAAAUCAAGCUUCAAUAGAGUCUCCAUUCCAAAAGUGUAAAAUUCUCUGGAGAUUCUGCUCUCAAUAGGCCACAUACUAUUCCAAACAUUAGCAUAAACUUGUUUUCCCCUUAUCAUUCUUGUGGAGCCAAGACACUGAUUAAUAGAAGCAGCUACAAUAGGUGCUAGAGUCAUAGUUCUAGCCAUCAUGUAUCCAGUAGAAGGAUGAACUACACCAGAAUUUGCACCAAAUGCAAUCACAUUUUGAGGUAUUCUUGGUAAAGGUCCUCCCAUUGGAAUCAAGCCCUUCUCAUCUUCCAAUACCCUUUUCACAUUAAUUCCCAAAUGCUUUAACCUUGCAACCAUUCUCGUUUUCACCUCCGUGUGAGACAAGGCCGGACGGCUAACAAGCGAAGUUUCUUCAAGAAAAAUCAAAUUUGAACUAAAUGGCAUAGCAUACAUAAAAGUAGAAGACUUGGCAUUACCAUCUCUACAAUGGGAAUCUCUCCAAUCCAUCAAAACUACUUUAUCCAAAUCAAAAGGGUGAGCAUCAACUUCAGCUAAAACUCCAUAAGCAAUUUGAAAACCAUAGUUUUUCACCUUAUGAUCAUCAUAUUCAAUAAAUUUACUUCCAAAACCACUAGCAUCAACUACUAAACUCCCUUUCAAAUCUACUCCAUCGUCACAAACAACAAUAGACUCAAACUCAUGAUGCUCAAUUUGCAUUGCCUUUGCCUUAUAAAAUCUAACACCGUUAAAAACACAACCUUUAACCAAGUUCUCUUUAAGUUUCCUUUUAUUAACCCUUCCGUAACAACGAUCCAAAUACUUGGUGGUUCUAUCAUCAAUAUAAAUAGAAGUUAUAGGCCAUGUUUUAUCUAAACAAUCUUCUAGCCCAAGACCUUCAAACUCAUCAAACCAAACACCAUAGUUAUUAGGCCAGAUAGACAGAGGGUUAGGAUCAACACAACAAACCUUCAUUCCAUAAAGGGAAACUUGUUCUGCAAGGCGAAUUCCUGCGGGGCCAGCACCGAUUAUGAUCACAUUGAAACAAGUGUGAUCAGAAGGGUGAAACAAUGGAAGGUCGAAAUCCAAGGCUUCGGGUUGAUACUCGGAUUUUAAGUCAAGAAAAUUUCCAAACUUUCUGGUGUUGUGGAUCCUUCCUUGAUGUUGUUUUCUUGAAGAUGGAAGUGAUGUUCUGUUGUGAUGGGUUUUGGGGAGAGGGAAUAUUGAAGGUGUUGUGAUUGGUGGAGAAAAUAACAUAACUGAAGUGUUCAUGUUUUGUAUUGUACAUAUGCAGGUUCGUUGACCUUAACAAUAGGAUGUGUAAUGUGUUAGUAACUUGCAGAUACAUAAAAAAGAAAAAUAUUAUAUGAACACGUCUAUAUUGCUAUUCCUUUUAUAACCCUCCAAUUCCUACUUAUUAAAGGUUAUUUCGGCUAGAAUUUGAACUCGAGUUCUAUCCAACGGUUCAUUUUUAACUAAAAUUCAUCAACUACUUUAAUAGAUAUAAAGUUCGUUAUAUUAUAUCAAUUAGUUACACUGAUUAGUUAGUUAGAUUAGUAUAACUAAAUGAUAUAAUUAACUUAUAUAACUACAUUUAUAUCAGAGUCUAUCAAUUCGAUCAUCCACCGUUUAUAUUCAUGUGUCAAGUCUAAUAAUGUUGAUUGUGAUGGAUGUAUUGAAAAAAAUCUAAAUUCCAUGUAGAAAAGAUAUAAGAUAAGGCCACUUGCUAAUUAAUCUAUAUGAUCAAUUAGUAAAUCAUAUAACUAAUUUUAUAUCUAAUGAACUUAAAUACAAUCACAUGGUUAAAUCAUCUGUUAAAUCUUCACUAUUAAAAAACUAAAACGUGUAUUAUAGUUCAAUUUGUUAAGUAAGUCACUCUUCUAAAAAUAGUAAUAAAUGAUUACCCACUUGCUUAGGUGCAAGUUCCAAAAAUGCAUCUACUGAUUUAUUUAGCAAAAAUCUACAAAGCACGAUACCGCAACAAGUGGAUGCGUUGAGAAACGUUGUUGCUACAAUUAGGAGUAGCUAGGAAGGAUUGCCAGCUUUUGUUGUUUUCUUGAGAUCCACGGUGAACAUGAACAAUUAGAUAUUUACUACUUACUAAUUAAAUUACAAGCUAACUAAUGUUUACAUGUAGGAUUCGAGCUUCAAAUUCUCCAACUUCACUUCAAAAACAUCAGUUUGGUAUGUUAGUCUAACUUAUAGAGGCUAGUUGACAAAAAAAAUUAACAUUACUUUCAUAUGAAAAAAAUAAAUUAUAUUAUAUUAAAGACUAAACUGUAUUUUUCGCCCCUUAAGUUUUAAAAUGUUGCGAUUUUGACCCCUAUUUAAAAAAUGGCAAAAGUGACCCCAUGUUUAGGGAAAUAUGAUCUUUUGACCCCCUAACAUAAGGGAAAUAUAAUCUUUUGACUCCUUAUCUUCUCAAAAAGUUGCGAUAUGGCCCCUUUUUUGAGACACGUGACAUCUUCUCAGCAAUUUUGGGACGAAAUGGACCAAAAUUGUCAUUUUUUUAAUAAGGGAUCAAAAUCGCAACAUUUUGAAACUUAGGAGGCGAAAAGUGCAGUUUAACCUAUAUUAAACUAAUAAGGUUUGACCCGGAAAAAUAUGAUUCAAUUUACAUCUAGGCAACCCCCUCAUACAAUACUUGAUAUUAGAUUUGUGUCUGAGACAACUUAUGAAAUCCUUACAUAAAAUUGGGAUAUCUAAUCUAAAGAUAUACAGAUAUACAAAUCAUCCAUAAGAAUAUUUAUUUAAUAUUUGUUCUUACAAUCAUUCAUUGGUUUAGUUAGUUGUUUUUUUGUCAUUUUGGUGGUAGUAGGAACCUAACAGAAUCACAUAAGAAUGUUUUUGGUACUAGGUGGAGCAAGUGAGUUCUUAACAACUCCUUGAUCAUAAACCUUAUCAUAAUUAAAUUCUACACAUAAUUUCAAAAACCUUAUAUAUAUACACAUCAGCAACAGUUUCAAUAUCACAUACAACAGAAAAGUUUUCUCAGUAUCAGUAUAUAUCCUUCAAGAGAGCAUUUAUAAAAUUUGAUUCAAAUGGAUUCAAGAAGAGAAGUUGAGGAAUCAUCAACAGCUCCCAUCCUAGAAUCCAAAAGGACAAGAAGCAAUGGAAAAGGGAAAUCCAUUGAUGGAGAUCAUUCUCCUCCACAUGCUGCAACUGUUGUUACCACAAAAGCUACUCCACUACAAAAAGGUGGAAUGAAAAAGGGAAUUGCAAUCUUAGACUUUAUUUUGAGGCUUGGUGCCAUUGGUGCUGCUCUUGGUGCUGCUGUCAUUAUGGGGACUAAUGAACAAAUACUUCCUUUCUUCACUCAGUUCCUUCAGUUUCAUGCUCAAUGGGAUGAUUUUCCAAUGUUUAAGUAAGUUCAUUUUACAUAACGGUGAUGUCCCACUUUCUUGUAUUUUUGGUCCUCCUAUCUUAACUGAAACACAAUUUUAGAUCUCUUAUUUCUAAAUUCAAAAUUUUAGUCCUCUUGUUUCAAAACUUUUUUCUCACAAUUUAAUUUGAGGUUUGCUUUUUGUGACGACAUGAAAUUAUAUUCGAUGACAUGACAUUGUUGAUUUGAAUUAGAAACAAUAAAAUUCUGAAAAAUAGGUUUACAUUCGAUGAAUGAGAUCAAAAGAAAAAAAAAAAAUAUCUUGUUAGAGGGUUCUUUCCAAAUAAACACUCUCAUAUCAUCAAAUGUAAUCCACGUCAUCAAUUAAAAUGAUAGCGUAAAAAAAAAAAAAAAAAAGUCUCAAAUAGGUUCUCGGAGAAAAAUCAUGACAUUUGCAAAACUAGGGACUAAAAUGCCAAAAUUUUGAAAUAGGGUGACUAAACUAUAUUUUUUAGGAAUAGGGUGACUAAAAUAUUGUUUAAGAUUAAAAUAGAGAAAUCAAAUGUGCAUAUAAUUGUUUUUUUUCCUCCCUUCAUAUAUAUCCCUGCAAUUAUACCUGGGAUCUUUACUAGUUAUAGAUUUAAAAUAUCAUCCUUUUUAUGGAUCUAAACAUGCAGGUUUUUUGUGGUGGCAAAUGGAGCAGCAGCUGGAUUUCUCAUCCUCUCCUUACCAUUCUCAAUUGUCUGCAUUGUUAGACCCCUUGCAGCCGGUCCGCGGUUUCUACUUGUCAUCGUUGAUUUAGUAAGCAAAAAUUCAAUAUGAGUAAUGAUAAUGCACAAAUCAACAAUCAUCGUUAUAUCUUAUUUCAAAUGAUCAUUCAACACUUAACUAGAAAAGAAAAAAAAUGUUGACUACUUAAUUGCAGGUAUUAAUGGCCUUAGUGGUUGCAGCUGCUUCAUCUGCUGCAGCUGUUGUGUACUUAGCACACAAUGGGAGUCAAGAUGCAAAUUGGAAUGCCAUUUGUCAGCAGUUCACUGAUUUUUGUCAGGGUUCAAGUUUGGCUGUGGUUGCUUCUUUCGUUGCGUCGGUUUUCCUAGCUUGUUUGGUUGUUGUGUCUUCUGUAGCUCUCAAAAGGACUUAAAAAUUGGAAUUGAAGGAUGAUGGUUGAUAGAAAGUUAAUUGCUCUUUUAAUGAGUGUUGUAAACUUGUUUUAGUUUGUGGUUUGUAAUUGAUGUUUAUAACAUUGAAGUGAAAAAUCAUGUUUAACGUUUGUUGUUGCAACAAAUUCUGUAUUGUAAAAAAUGCUUCUUUAUCUUCUUAUUUGGUUGAAUUAAUUUGCAGCAGAUUAAUUUGUGGUAAAAAAACAAGCUUAAGAGACAAAUCCAACACCAUCAAAAUAUUAAACAACAUAGUUAACAAAUUUAACUAGAUAAAACAAUAGAUAAGUAAAUUCUGUAUAGUAGCAAUGUUACCAUUGUAAAUCCAAUAACAUUAAAAAGGUUUUAAAAUAAAACAAAUCACAAAAUUAAUCCAACCAAAUAAACCCGAAAAUAUAAAAUAAGUAAAAAAAAAAAAAUCACCACAUAAUUUCUCUAGGAAAUCAAUCAAUAAAGUAAAUCAAUCCCAAAAAUAUUAGUUUGAACCGAUUGAAUCAUACCCGUUUUGCAAUCCCCUAAUUGGAGGCUAUGAAUCCCGAAAAACGGAGACGUACCCAUAUCGGAUAUGUAUCGGAUACCGAUACUCCACAGAUACUUGUGAAUACGUACUCACGAAGUAUCGGAAUUAAUUAUUUUAAUUUAAAAAAAUAUUUUAUCUGAUACUUAUAGGAUAAUCCACAGAUACACAAAGAUACUUAUAAGAUACUUCACAGAUAUGUAAACUAGAGAUGAUGACGGGUAAGAAAGUGAGACAAUGUUGUAAAAAUUCAGUUGAAAUGUAUAUGAUUCAAUUUUAGAUAUGCAUAAGUAAAAUUGUUUCUCGAUGAACCACUUAAAAUUAUGAUUCUUGUGGAUGAAGGUAAUGAGAGAGAUGUGAUUCAAUUAAUCAACAAUAGAUAAAAUUUGUGUUGAAUGCUUCUCUCGAUAUCCUAACAAACGAAAAUAAAAUAUGGUUUAUAAGAAAACUUUACAUACAUGUAAUAAUGAAAGGUAAUAAGUGCUUAUUUUCUUCAAGUGUUUUACAUAUAUAUAUUUUAGUAUAAAAAUUUUGUUAACGUAUUUUAGCCGUAUCGUAUCCUAAAUUUUUGAAAAAUUGUGUCUCCGCGUACCCGUAUCAUAUCGUACCUGCAUCCGUAUCUGUAUCUGGACUUCAAAGAUAGGAGGCAAUACAUAGAUACCACAUUCACAAAAAAAAAAAAAAAAAAAAAAAAAAAAAAAAAAAAAUUAGGAAACAUGAAUCAAGCAAGUGAAUAAUUAGUGGUUUUUCUUUAAUGUAAAAAUAAAUUGUGUUUCCUUAUUAUCAAUUGAUAGCAUAAUCCGUGGGUUUUCUUUAAUUCGAAAAUAAAUUGUGUUUCCUUAUUGUAAAUCCUCAUUCCUUUUUAAAAUUUAUUUUUUUCAAGAUAGCAUAAUCAGUCUUCUUAGCUCGGUCCUAAUAAAUUUUGGAUAGUUUAUAGAGUCUUGCACGAUAACAAUAUUUUCAUUCUAGCGUUUGGUGUCCGACAAGGUUUUUCUCAAGUUUUUCAAGGUAGGUAAUCUCUCAUCAUGAAACUUCUAGUUGUCUGCACAUGAUUGAAGUAUUAUAUGAUUAUUUUCUAUAUUUUUAAUUCAAUUUUUAGUAUUUAUAGUAAAGAAAAAUAAGAUCUUUCAUUCUAAAUCCAUCGGUUCAAACACACUUUUAUGGUUUGUUUCACAUCAGAAAAAUAUGUCUCAGAUAUAUAUGUUGUUGAGCUUCGUGUUGUUUAGGGUUUUUUAUGUAGCGUUUAUGUCAGAUCUUAUUGAUUUUUUUUUAGGAUGAUCUUAUUGAUUUUUAUUUGUUUGUGUCAGUGUUGUCCUAUGAAAUUCACAACAAUCAUUUUCCCUGCAUUUUUCUCAUGUUUUUUAUUUCCCUGAUUUUGUUAAUUUCUAUUUCGAUUUCCUUCUGAAAUUCAGGUAUUUACUGUUUUUUAUUUUCUUUUAUUUCCCAUUAAACUAGAUUGAUUGAUUCUGCAAGGGUGCUAGAGAUUUGAUUGAUUCUGCAAGGGUGCUAGAGAUGAAUGCGGCACCCAAUAACAAAAAUUCAUUAAUUAGUUUCUUAUCUUUUUGCAAAUGUGUUUUUUUAAUCAAGGAAAUAAAUUACUUUUUUGAAAUUAAGGAAAUUAGUUUUUUUAAUUAGUUUUUUAUCUCUCUAAAUAUCUAGAAUUUUGUUUUUAAUUCAUAUAAAAGAAUUGUACUUUUAAGUUCUAUAAAAUGAUUUUGCUCAACCAAAAAAAAAAGUUCUAUAAAAAAUUUCAUCGAUAUUUUCCAUUUUUGUGGCGAAAAAUGUUAAGAAAUUAAAAAGUGUGAUUUUUUUGUGACGAAAACGAAAUUUUGGAUAUUUUUAAAGACAUUUACUAAAUAAACCUUUUUUAUUAGGAAUGUUUUUUUAAUAAGUUGCUCGUUGCUCUCUUAUUUUGUAUAUAAGUUGAGAUGUUCCUCAGCUAGUGAACUCUAGUUUAGUUUUUUUUUAAUUGUUUAAACGUUGCAAAUAUUUUUUUAUUUUCCUAUUUUGGCCAAACCAAUUUGAGACCGAAAUUGCGCAAUAAAAAAUGAAUGACUAAAAUUGUGGUUUGACAAAAAAAAAAAGGGACUAAUACUGUAUUUAAGGUUUUUUUGUUUUUUUUACAAGAUAUUGCAUUUAAGCCUAAAUAUUAAAAACUAACGGAAAUGUUAUAUACAACAAAGAGAACAUUGCAAAUGCAUAGCGAAUUGAUUUUUCCUGUUUAUCAAACUUUGACUAACCAUGAUAUGUUGCUGAAUAUAGCAUUGCUCUGCAACUAAUUAACAUCAGUUAUUUUCUCAAUAUUUAUCGUACAUAUUUUUUAAGAAUGUUUUGUAUUCCUUUUCUUUUUUAAUACCAUAAUUAUUCGUUCUCAUUGAACAAGAACUGAAUAGUACACAAAAAAGCAUAAACUUACUAACUCAAAAUUAACACAUGCAGGUGCAAUUUAAGUUGUUUCCAUACCACACCCAACAUCGCUAUCCAAUAUGAAAAUAACUCACGAUGAGGUACAAAUUUAUUUUUUUAUAGAUGCUUUGAAUUUCUUUCUAUUAAUUAUUUUUGUAUAUGCUAUGUAAUCUUUUAUUUUGAUAACAUUCAUAUGUGAAACAAUGGUCUUGAAAGUAUUUUAAGAUGAUUUCUAGUUGUAUAAUUGUGUGUGGGGGUUGUACUUGUAUCAAAUCUACCAAGGGAAAAAAAAAUCCUUAUGUUAAACUAGUUAAUGCAGUGAAAAGGACGGAAUUGGGAAAAACAUGCGAUUCCUCGGAUACGUGUUCUUCAAUAUGAAAUUGUUUUUCAUUAAUUUAAUAAUGUAAUGACAAAUCUACCCUUCCACUUACAACAUGUUUGAGAAGUUAUAAAUAUGUUUUUUGAUAAAUAACUAGUGGGCGUAGUUUGCUAACUUGCACCUUAGUGUUUUUAAGUGGAUGCAAGUUAGCAGCCCCAUCUUUAUAUAUAUAUAUAUGCAAAACAAUAGUCAAUCCUUAAUUAUGUCAUUCUUUGAUUUUUAGGGUUCUACCAUUCUUGUGCAGGGACAACAAACCGGUCUUGGGCUAGCAUAUGAUGCACCUUUUGGGGUAACUCCUUGUUAACUUAAUACUAAUGUUAAUAACCUAUUUGAGUUCGAAUUGGUGAAAAAAAUAAUCAUUUUCUUAUGUUAAAUAGUAUUAUUAAAAAUACUAUUUAACAUAAGAAAAAUCCAUCAUCCGGUAACCACAGGAUGAUCCACAAGAAAGGUGGCAGGAUUCGAACCUAUGGCCGGCCCGCCCCUGACCUGCUGGGUUGGGUGGCCGGGUUAGCACCCCUCGUCGCCCCUGAACCCGAAACAGAUGCGCUGCGCUACCCAGCGCGUAACCUUGUCUCCCCUACUCCUCUUCUGGUUAUGCCAUUACCAAUCGCGGGUAACCCCCGGGCCGGCCGCCCCUGACCUAAUAAGUGAUCAUUUGUAUUUCCUUGAUCUUAGAGUAUUACAUAGAUACCAGAGAUUUGAAGUUUAUCCAAGACCUUCCAAAGUUAUCACUCGAUAUAUAUUUUUAUCCCUCUUUGGUGGGGUUUCUGGUCCUAUGAAGUGAAAAAAAAAAAAAAAAAAAAAAAAACUCCUUCUAAAGUGGGAGGGGAAGACUACUCUCUCUUCCUAUUCCCUUUCCUCCUCAAAGCCCGGUCUUUAUUUCCCCUCCUAACUCUCAAACAAACCCUAAUUGUCAAAAUUAUCUUCAAUAUUGAACGAAAUGCAUGCCUAUAUUACUCGUUGAAAUACAAUAUUUUUUAAAGUGGAAGCAAUAAGGAUCAGAGUGUUGGUCAUUUAACUAAAGCGCCUUGGAUAUUUGUGUUGGUUCACGAGAAUAUCCUUGUAGAUCGCACACAAUAGGCAAAAGCAAUCACACAAGUGAGAAACACCACAUUUUUGCCCAAAAUCUUAAGGUAAUGGGUUCAUCCGGUCACUUAUAAAGUGUCCAACCUCUGUUAUUUUAAUUAAUAUGUGACUUUUAACUCACACUUGCUACUACACCAUGGCAAAGAGCCAAUCAAACCAAGUACAUACACAAAUAACUUUGCUUACAUAACUUGAAUCCAUAUAGAUGAUUUAUUCUUUUACGGUGUUGACUUUGUUGACAUUGCAGGAGAUGGAACAAUCUGCAUUCCUCCUGGUGACCUUUCCACACACAGGCAGUCGUCAUGGUCAGUUCUGUUUGCAUCAUGUAAGGAAAUGACAGUAGAGUUUAGAGGAUUACUUAUCGCGAUCUCUUCCUGCUGGAUGAUUUCCUUGAUUUUUGAUAUAGGUAAACCAUAUGAUUGGCAUGGAAAGAAAGUAACAAUGCCAUUUGGAGGGAGAACAACCCUGAUGUUUAUGACCACUGCUUCUUGGGUGCUUAUUUUUGGAGCUUCAUGUUUUUUAUCCAUAUGUGCUGCCUUGCAUUUAAAAAUAAUAAUGGUUGUUUUGACAAUGGGGUCUGUUUAUUGCCUAUUCAGAUUGCUGGGCAAAAUCACCUCUUACCAAAUCGUGUUUGGUUCUUCCAAUUACGAAAUCAAUGGUAUUUGGUUGUUUUUUGGUUGCUUCAUUGUAAAUUGUUACUUUUUGUCUAUUUUGUUUGUAGUGUUUUAUAGGCGAUUGAGUUGACCUGUUUGCAUAGGCAAACCAGGAGACCCAAAGAAUAGUAAAAAUAAAUGAAGAAAAUGAUCCAAUUAUCAGGAUUACUUGUUUUGUAGAAUUAUCCUUUGAAUUUGUCUUUCAUUUGAUUGACUUAGCUUCAAAAAACAAUGUUAUCUUAUUGUUUUAUCCCAUACGAACAAAUUCUUCAAUGUUGAUAUGAUUUUAAGUUAAUAUUCUAUAUACGAGUAAUGCUAGCAAAACUCCUUUUUUAAGACUCUCUCUAAUACUCACUCUUUUAUUGGUUUAAAUCAUUGUGAGUUUACAUUUUGAAAAUUGAAUCCAUAAAAAGUGGUGAGACAUACUUUGAUUUCAUCCAAUAAGAGAUUGAGUGUCAGAGAGAGUGUUGAAAAGUGAGUGUUACUAUCAUUCCUCCUCUACGUAUAGGCUAAAAACUAGCAAUUUCCUCUCUUUCACUAAUGAGGAUCUCUCAACCCGCAUAGUUCAUACUCCUUCCUAUCACAUUUAUGAGCAAAAAAUAAUUUUUUAAGUACAUCCAAUAAUUAAUGUAUAUAACCCAUAAAUGUGACCAGAGGGAGUAUGUCUUAAUAAAAAGUCGCCCAAAUCCGACCAUUUAAAUUUUAUGAUUAUAACAAAUUUAUUUUUAAAUUUAUUUUUGUUACAAAUUGAUCUUUCAAGUUAUAAAUAUAUACACCAUUAUCUUAUUCAGUCUUGAUUUGAAACAAAAUUGAUCGACUAAUUGAUUUAUAAUAUUUUUUUGGAGAGAACUUGAUUUAUUAUAUUCUUGAUGAAAUAUUUACCUGUAAAUUUAGGCUUGAAUUCAAAAACAAAAAAGAAGAAAAUGUGUAAGUAAUUAGGUUUGAUGUCAUAAACACUUUUAGAUCUCUCACCUCAAUGUUAAAUUAUCCAUGAACACUUUUUAACGAAGUUGAUUGAAACAUGGAGACAAUAUAAAUAUUUUAUGACUUAAAAGGACUAGACCAGUUUGUAACAAAAAAAAAAAAAAACUUAAAAGGACCAAUUGGUAACAAUUAAAAAACUUAAAAGACUAAUUUGUUGUAAUAAACAUCUAACUUAGAGAUCGCGAAAUGUAUUUGAUCAAAAAAGUCUAAAAAAUAUUCAUUUUUUUAGGGAUUAAAAAAAGUUUCAUUUAUCUAACAAUUAAUGUUUUUAUUUUCUAAUUAGACAAUUCCAAACAUUGGAUUAGAUAAUAUGAUAUUUCAUUCGACUUAAUCCGAAGGAGCACAUCGGUUUGUUACUUACUUCUUUCAAUGUGGCAAUGCUUGGUAAACAGGGUUGAAAAUUUCUAAAGGAUCACUUUAGUCUUGUAACUCGGUUGUUUAAAGCUCGUUAUUUUUCUAACAUUGAUUUUAUAGGUCAAAGAUUGGAAAUAAUCCGAGCUAUGUGUGGUAACGAUGGUUGUAAUAAAAGGAGCAAGAUGGCGAAUAGGAACCGGUGAGAAGAUCCCGUUAUUUGGUGCACCGUGGUUAAAAGACGGGCUAUUUUUGACAGCUGACAAUCCUAUUUAUGCGCCCCUAGCUCACGUAAAGGUGAAGGACAUUAUUGAUCAAUCCUCUAAGGAACGAAUACUCCCUUAAUUUAUAAUAUGUUUGAUAUAAGUACGACCCAGCUGAUAUUGAAUACACAGCUACAAACUUUAGAAGAUAAGUUGAUUUGGAAAGGUGAAACAAAUGGUAAUUAUUUGGCGUGUAGCAUUUAUAGAAUGUGUGUUAGUAAAAUUGUUGAUGAUUCCCAUAUAUAUAUUCUAGGUCAUUGGAAAUUGGUUUGUAAACUCAAAGUUCCACCAAAAAGAACAAAAACAAAAAACUCACUUGGCAUGUGUAUCUUGGGUGUUUUUCAACUUGAGCUCUCCUGGGUAGUAGAGAGGUGCAUUGUCCAACAUAUUGUGUCAUAUGUCGUAGUAAUUAUGAGGAUAGUAUUCAUGUGUUUUUGGAAUGUCCUAAUGUUGUGCAGGUUUGGCGUGAUGUAAAUUUGUGGGAAAGUAUUGAUAGAGUACUUCACCAAAAUUAUAAUAUGGAUGCGGUCAUUUUUCUCUCUUGCAACAACUUACUGCUAGCCAAAGUGAACUUUUUGCUAGUGUUUUAUGGAGUUUUUGAAAGAGAAUGAAUUUGAAGCUUUGGCAACAAAAGAAUGAAACGAAUAUGCAGGUGGUUGAACGAGCAACACAUUUUCUUAAAGAUUUAAAAUCGGCUCAAAUUAUCUGGGGAAGUCGUGAUGUGCAGACAAAUACAAGUUAGCUGGAUUCAAAUCGACAUGUUAUGAUACGGUGGGAAAAGCCAGUAACCGGGCGUUGCAAAUGCAACAUUGAUGCCUCGUUCUCUUCAUCUAUGAACAAAGUAGGAAUUGAGAUAUUCGUGAUGAUGCUUCGCAAAACAGUUUGGUUUUCCCCUCUUUGUGAUGUUGAUAUAGGGGAAGCAAUGGGUUUGCAUACGGCUCUGGAAUUGACAUAAGAACUAUGAAGGCUACCCCACAAAAAAAAGUUCUAUUUUCGGGAAAAAUUAGCGAUAAGGAUGUGUUUAUAUUUACUGAUGCUGAUUGAAUGGGAUCUAUUACAAAUAGAAAGUAAUUUAAGCUUGUUUCAUGGUAACAUGAUUUAACAAUAAUUUUCCGGUGCUUCACAAGAAACAAGAUGAGGAAAAAAAAUUAAGACACAACAUAUACAUUAAUUCGGUUUGUAACUCAAAAAUUGGAUACUCAAUGAUACUUCCCAAGAAGCCCGCCAAACCAAGAAUAAAUUUGUUGGCAAAAAAUUUAUUGUGAUUUAAACUUGCUGGUCUACAAUAAUUACGCGGUUUGAAAUAUGAUUUUAUUUCUUUUGUUACUUUGCACGAGACUUCUUUUCUCUUCACCAUAGUUUUAUUCCAUAAGAUUUUUCUGAUAAGAUUUUUAGUUAGACAUUUUUUGUGUAAUCUUGGAUUUUGGUCUAGUGCUCCCCAAGUGUUUGUUUCUUCACUUUUUUUAUUUUAAUCAAUUUGUCAGGGUGCUACAGAUGUUAUUUGAUAGUUUUUGGGUGCCAAUAUAGUUGGAAUGUCAAUGUGCUUUGCGAUGCUUUUGCACUAUAAUUUGUGUUUUAAAAAAAUUGAAAUAUGAUGUUACAUAUAUCAAGUUGUCUUAAAUUUCAUGAUUAUUGUCCCCGAGCUUAGCUCAGUUGAUAGGGACAAUGCAUAAAAUAUGCAAGGUCCGGGGUUCAAAUUCCGGCCACCACCAAAAAACUUCAUGAUUAUUAAUAGGAAAGAGGAAGUUGGAUUAGAGAGGUUGCAAAAGUUUAGACGUGCGAAGCUAAAAUGAGUGAUUUGAGAUCCAAAGGCAACAGCAUAGAAUGAGAGGUUAGACAAGAGAACGUGAAAGCUGGAACGAAAGGCUGGAGAUGAGAGGUAUAGGCUUCACAAAUAAGGCAAAACGGGAAUAGGUUUUCAUAAUCUUAUCGGAUUGUAACCCAGUAAACUUAAACGAUAGAAAUAACAAAGGGUGAGCAGAUAUGAUCAGUAAUAUUAUUAUCAAUUUUAUCAUAUAGUAUUGGAGCAUCAAACAAUAGGAUAUUAAAACUUUUAAAUAUACGAUUAAAAGGAUGUUGUAUAAAACUACUCACGUCUUUGUUCUGUACAAAACAAUAACCAUGUCCGUGUCAAUUUGAUCUCUAAGAAACAACCACGAAGUUGCAAUUUCCCCGCUAAAAUUACACUAAAACACGGGUGGCAAUAGAAUCGUACCAUGGAGUCAUUUGACUUACAGACAAUAUUUUAAUAGAAUUAGAAAGAAUUAAUAAAAUUUAAGACCAGAUGAAAAAUGCCCAAGCUAAGCAAUAUUAGAAAAUAUGAGGGUGUUAAGCCAGAAUUAGCAAAUAUAAUAAUGUACAGUAUUAUUAUUAUUAUUUAUUGUAAGAAAAUUAUUUCCUUGAAUCAAUUUGCUAGCUUUGGUUUAUUAUUUCACUCUGCGUGAUUGCAAAAAUAGUCUUAAAACCAACACUAUAGUGGCAAACGGGUAAUAAUUUCGCAGAAUAUCACUCAUUCGUUGAUACCACAAAACCCACAUAGCUUCAUAAAAAAAUGAGACAUCUUUCAAGGAGAAGACCAUUUAGACAUCCCACUAAGUGGUUGAAGACAAUUUAAACCCACAAAAAUAAAAUUGAGUAAGUCAUGAAAUUGAUUAGGGUGAGGUUUAGUAUGGGAAAUGGUACUUUUUUCCCACCAUGGGAAAGCCUUUUUUUAACCCUUAGAUUGAGUAGUACCACCAUUGUUAUUAUAGUCUAUCCACACUAUAUUUUUCACAUCAUCUCCAACCUUAACAACUCAUUUUAUUAUCUUCACCUGUGAAAAUUACAUCUCUCAAUUUAUUUUUGCCUACAAAAAUAUUCUUGAAACAAAAUAGAGAGAAAUGGAGAGAAAACAAUCUAAUUUGAAACCCAACUAUUCAUCUUCAUUCGUUCAUACAUUUAUGUGUUCUUCAAACAAAUCAUUCAUCUUCACCAAUUUUUUCUUCCUAAAAUUUUAGAUCUGGAACAUCACAACAACAAGAACAGACAAGAGAAAUAAAAUUGUAUAGGAUAAUUAUUUUGUGAGUUUGUUUCAAUAGCCGGAACAGAACAAACACAGUUGUUGGGGGUUUGUGUUGUGUGGUUCCUAUAGUACGAGCUAGGAACAAAAAAGAAGCACUGUCACAAAUUCAUUCAUUGUACUUUCUAAAAUUUGCAUUGGCCAGGACAAGAUUUUGGAUAAUUAAUUUGAUUUUGGUCCUCAAAGAAAAUAAAUUGGAGAGUUCGGAUUUACUUUGAUAAGCUUUUACUGAGUAACAAUUAUGUUAAAUCAUUUAAUUAUAGUAUUUAUGUUUAUACUGAGAUUUUGUUUUAAACAUGUAAAAUAAGAUUGUAACUUGAUAAUCAUAACUAGCAAAACUGAACAAAACUAAUUCCCUAAUUUAGCCGAUGAUUAAAGAAGAAGAAGAAAAGGAACAAGAUAAGAGUACAAGAAAUUUCCAGUGAAAGGUGUUCUAAUGGAAAGAUAUGGAAGAUGAAAAUAGUGGGUGAGAGAGAGUGGUUGGAGAAGAUAGUAAAAUAAAAAUCUAGUGAUAAGAGACUAUGAUAAAAUUGUGUUCCUUAUUUAAUCUAAUGGUCAAGAAAAUCUUUCCCAUGAUGGGAAAGAACUCCCCUUUUCUAGGCUAAAUGCAACCAUUGAUUAGUAGUCAAUCUAAUAAGAAGUAUAAUUUGUUACCAUACAUCAAGGCUGAGAUAGCACAACAGCAAAUACUAUGACUCUAGGUCAUCAACCUAACAAAAUCAUACAAUUCAUAAUGUUUGUGACAACAAUAAAAUGUAUAUCAUACAAUGAAAACAGCUCUGCCUUUGCUGCCUAGCCUGCAACUGGUGUCAAAUGGCAACUAGCGAGGCAAGUACCUACGAAAGCACCACAACACGGCAAAAAACCAAAACUAAAAAAAUGGUGCACAAAACAACCCAAAAACCAUUAACUUCAUGAUUGGCAGUGCCAAUCACAACUCGGUAAGUGGUUGUUUUGUACACCCACACAUAUAAACCCCAGCACAAUCCCACAGUGUAGAUAGCAGCCAAAAUGAAUCUUUCACGCAAGGGCCAAACAGAUGCAACUACCACAUAGUAGGAAAAUAAGAAUCCAAACAACCAGGAAAUUGAGGGGAUAAUAGAGGAAAGAGCUUUCCCCGAUGGAAGAAUUUUGUCCUUGCCAUAAUGCACGGAUUUACCUAUAGAACUUAUGAAAUAGACCAUAAGACAACCCACGAAAAGGAGUGUAAUGAGUCUGGCAGUGGGAGGCAUUUGCUCGGGUCCAAACCGAGCAAACGACAAAUCAGGCACAAGAGAUGAACCCUACAAAAUUUUACCAAAAAAUAAUGUAACAAAAUCAUAUAUUAAAAGUAUGCUCCCACUGUAAUGUAUUAUAAGCAGCCUCAAGAGAGGUUUCAAGAGUUGCAGGCCCAAGAGAAAACAAAGCAUGGCAUGUGUCAAAUAUGUAAUGUAAUGUAAAGAUAUAACUCGAUGACAAUUAAGACAAAAACAAGAUAACAGAAAACAUAUCAUAUGAACUGAAAAUGAGUGUGGCAGGCAGUGCCAGAAUAAAAAAUUACAUUAUUUCAUUGUUGUGUAUAUCUCACUUUCGCUCUUUCUAAUAGUUUGAUAUUUUCCAACAUUUCAUGUAAUUAACAAGAUCUGAUUUAUGUACACAAGAAAAAUAGACACAUUACUUGGAAUUUCACAAAACGUAACACUCAACAUCAUCUGUUUCAUUCACAAAAGAAGACAUGGUCAACCCCCACAAGUUUUGAAAUUUCAGGUUUUCAUUAUUAGAACCAUGCGCUUCUAAGAUACAAAAUUAUUUAUAAUUUUAAAUGCAUGUUCUUGAUCUUUCACCCAAUUUAGCAUACUCUAGCUUCUACCUAAAAACAUAUAUGCAGAAUAGAAGCUUUGCAUUCCCUUUCAUAAAAGAACCGACAAGGUUGUUAUUGUUGAGACAAGGAUCUGAACCCCAAAUAAAAUCAGUCAUCUUUUUUUCCUGUUGUCCCCCCAUCCCACCCCAUUAGUAUUUAUGAAGUAUUGACAUGUUAAAAAAGAUUCUUCGAAUCGCUUAUCUAUAGAUUGCUUACAACACAGGAACUAAAUACAGAGAUGACAUAUCCAGACUGAAAUAUCUGAGAGAGGAACCUGGGAAACUGGAACAACAGAAAGGCCACGAGGAAUGCCAGAUUGUUCGCUCUCCUGCAAAGCACAAGUCAACAGUGUAAAGAAUAUAAUUAGUUGGAGAUAGAGGGAUAAAAAUAUAUAGAAGGAUUCAAGUUAUGUCAGCAAAUAUACCAUGGUAUCCAAGACACUUUAGUUAAAUGGCCAACACUCAGAUCCUUAUUGCUUCCAUUCAGAAAAUAUAUUGUAUUUCAACUAGUAAUAGCAAUAUGUAUUUUGUUCGAUAUUGAAGAUAAUUUUGACAGAAAAAUAUAAACCAUUUAGCUUUGUUUGGGAGUUAGGAGGGGAAGGGAAGUGAGGGGGGUCUUUGAGGAGGAAAGGGAAGGGGGAGAAAGAGUAGUUUCCCCCUCCCACUUUGCAUGGAGGUUUUUUUUUCCUCUUCAUAGGACCAAAAACCCCCACCAAAUAUGGAGGAAUAAAAAUAUAUAUCAAGUGAUAACUUUGGAGGGUUUCAGAUACCCUCAGAUCAAAGAAAAUAUUACUCAUAGGUACUCUCAUUCUCCAAGAGCGCUUUGUUAUAUAUUUUGUAGCAACAUAAAUGGCCAAAUUUUUCCUAUAACAAAGUGGGUUUUUACUUACAAAUGUUAUUUAAAUGUCAUUAUUUACAACAUAGAAAGUGAAAAUUUUAGUACCACCAAUUUGAACUCAAAUAAGUUAUUAACAUCAAUAUUUAGUUAAAAAUGUUAUAUAUGAGGAGGUACCCCAAAAGGUGUUUCAUGUGCUAGCCCAAGAUGAUGCACAAGAGUAGUAGAACCUUGGAAAUCAAAGAACGACAAUUAUUAAACAACCAUAUGUUGAACAUAUAUAUUUGCAUGUUAAAGGAUUGACCAUUGUUUCAGCAUCAUCAGUUUACGGAUGAUUCACAAAAGACCAAGUCAGCCCACAGGUUUUGAAAUUUCAGAUUUUUAUUAUUACAAUUACACGCUUCUAAGAUACAAAAACAUUUUCUUCUUUCCCUCUUUCCUUAGACAUUUCCUUUUGAUUUAUUUCCAACUUUAAAUUUUAAUCUUAAAUGCAUGUUCUUAAUCUUUCAUCCAAUUUAGUAUAAUCUAGCUUCUACCUAAAACCAGAUAUGCAGCAUAGAACCAAAAAAAUCAGUCAUUUUUUCUGUGCUUCUAAGAUACAAGAUCACAUUCAUCUUUUCCUAUUUCCUUUUGAUUUAUUUAUAAUUUUAAAUGCAUGUAUGUUUGGUUUUAACCUCUCAACCAAUUUAGCAUAAUCUAGCUUCUACCUAAAAACAGAUAUGCAACAUUGAACCAAAUAAAAUCAGUCAUUCUUCGUGCUUCUUGGAUACAAGAUCACUUUUUUUUUUGACAAAUCCCAUCAUGUUGCACUUGGUUACAUUGAAUUUUGAUAUCAUGGUCACAUUGUCUCUAUUUUUUUAAGACUUAAAUAUGUAUUUCAUCCUUUGCAAUUAGGGGUCGUUUAAAAAUUGGUCCAUGUAAUCGCUAAUCUUAGCAUUUUACCCUUGCAUUGUUUAAUCAUUUAAAAUUUCGUCCAUCUCCCCACUUAAUCACUGCCAUGUCACUAAUUUGAUGACGUGACAAUAACUGUCAUACAUGAAACUCCAAUUUUACCCCUGAGUUUUCAAUUCUUUCUUCAAUAUUUUGUCCUCUUCUUAAGGGCAAAAUUGGAAUUUCAUGCGUGGUAGUGAUUGCCACGUCAUCGAAUUAGUGACGUGGCAGUGAUUAAGUUGGUCAAAGGACGAAAUUUUAAAUUAUUAAUGAUUGCAAGGCUAGUUUGCAAGGAUUAGCGAAUAUAGGGACCAAUUUUUAAACGACCCUUAAUUGCAAGGAUGAAAUACAUAUUUAAGUCUUUUUUUAAUAACCCAAUGUCGCUCAAAUAUUUUCUUAUCCCUAUCACCCCGAAAAAUUUAUAUUAAACCCCUAAUUAUUUUCUUUUAUGAAAUAUGUUUUCGUAAACUUAACUCAGUUAGUACAUAAUACACGAUUUUAGUAAAAGAUAAUACAUGAUUUAAUUUUUUUAUAAUAUAGUGUCUUUUAAAUAAGGAUAAAAGUAGAAUUAGAAAAUUAAAAUGGUCUUGUUAACGAGUGUCCUCGGGACACUCUUUAAGCAUUCUAAAUUAGGAAAGAUUUUUUUUUUGGUUUUCGCACCGAUUUUCGACCCAUCAAAGGUGGACGACUCCGGCUCAUGCGUAGAGGCAUGCGCACUGGCAUUGAGAAAAUUAUUUUUAAAAAAAGUGAAAUUGUUUAAUUUCCAAUGCAUUAAAUACACAUGUUUUUAUAAAAAGUUACUCCUAUUUAAGACCCUUAACAAGUGUCCCGGAGGUACUUGUUAAUAUUUUCCAAAUUAAAAUAGGUUCAAAUUCUAUCGACAUUCCAAAUUGCGUUCCGUUCUGCUCCAUUCCGUUAUGUUUCAUUCCGCUUCAUUAGGUUCAAUUUCAUCGAUCCAGAGCCUAAAAUGAAAAUAUUGCUAUUGUCACCUUCAUUAUAUAAGUUUAAAUCUAAACUAAAACUUAUAAGUUUUUUUUUUUGAGGGAAAAACUUAAAAGUUUGUGCAUGAAUUUUAGAGGUGUUCAUUGUUUCAUCUAUAAAUAAGAAAACAAAUCAACAAUAUUAAUUAGAAUUAUGUUUUACGAGAUGAAUAUAAUAAUCUGAAAGAGCACUUAUAUAUCUAUAAACUCAUUUCCCUUUGUCAAAUGAUACUUUUAGUUUAUUUAUUUAUAAAAAAAUGAUGUUUAUAAUUAAGGCCAGAUAAAUAUUUGUUAAGGUGUUCCGUGAGCAUAGCUCAGUUGGUAGGACAAUGCAUUAUUAUAUGCAUGGGCUGGAGUUCGAACCCCAAACACCAUAAUUAUUCAUCUUAUAAAGUUUAUAAGAUGAAUUCUAACCGCUAUACUAUCUUCAGGCCCGGUCUUGAGGGUGUGCAAGGUGCUCAACCAGGCCGGACCUCCAAAUGCUACGGGCCUCUAACGAAAAAUUAAAUCUAAUACCCACCCCCCACUUAAAUAAAAAAUAUAUAUGUUAUAUCAUUUUCUUUCUUAGUACACAUUUGAGUUUCUUUUAGACUCUAAUUCUCCUUUUUGUACAUAAAUUGGAUCCUUUCAAACCACCCCUAAUUUGUAUAAUCACUUAAUGGAAAGCUAUUUCAUUGAAAGAAUCACAACAAUCAUUUUUUUCUUCGCAUAAACCAUUCAUUUUACCCUUUUCCACAACAGAGGAGUGACAAAUCCAAACGACACCGGUAGAUAAAUUUCACCUCUUUCACUUAAUUUUUUUUUAAUUCCUUUCAUGUUUAGAAGUUCUUCUGAUUCUGAUUUUUUUUAAUGAAAUUUAACCACACAAAAAAAUUACGUUUUAUUUUACUAGAAGACUAUUUUAAAAAGAGAGCCAAACCUCCUAUGUCACAGGGACGGCCGUGGCUAUCUUACAAAAAAGAAAAAAAAUCCUUGUUACCACCACCUUAGAGCAAUGAUCUGAGUCACUAAACCACCGUUCAUCUAUCAUCACAAACCAUUUAUUGACUAAGAUAGCACGUGCCAUCAACUGUAUAAACUAACCACGUGUCAUAACCUAACCUCUAUCUCACGUGCCACUCUCUUUUCCUUCCACCGUUAAAAACGCUAUCGCAUUCUUCUUCCCAUUUCUUUUUCUCAGUUUUCUUUUUCUUUCCCCUUUUUCUCCGACACAAAACCCUAAUAUUUUCCCCAAUUUCUCUAAUCUUUCAUCAAUUUUUUCGAUUCUCACAGGUUUAACUUCAUCUCUCAUUUCUCUCCCUGUUAAAUAUUCACGAUUCGAUUUUCCGCGUGCGAUUCUUGUUACGAAUUGAAAAAAAAAAUGAUUUUUUUGAUGAAGUUUUUUUGGGAGGUGGUUGCAGGUUGCGGUUGCGGAGGAGGAAGCUGAAUCAACGGUGGUGAAAAAUCUCGGUAAAUUCGACAUCUCAAAGAAGGUUUUGUUGUUUAAAGUAGUUGAAGGAUUUGGGUCUGAUGAGAAUUAUUAGGGGAAUGCAGAGAACGUUUUGUUGCGAGGAUCUGAAGAAAUCGUUCAGCAAAGGCAUUGGAAUCACUGCUCCCAAGGCAAGAACACGCGAUAAACUCUUUUGGAUUAGGGUUUUGGGUCACUAAGAAGCAUGACUCGUAUCUAUGUUCAACGUGGUUCUUCUGCUGCUAGUGGUAGUUCUCAGAACACUAAUUCUAACCCUAACCCUAAUCGUGCUGGGUCUUCUUCGGUUCGGCCGGAGCAGGUUACACAGGUACAAUCUGUUACCAAGGAUGAGGAAAGUGGAGAGGAGGAGCCUGGAUUGGUUGUUGCUGAUGAUGUUUUGGAGUAUGCUGGGAGUAGUAAUAGGGCAAAGGGUGAUGACCCUUUAAUGGAAAGUCUUCAUUUUGAGGAGAAUGAUACUCAUACUCCUUUAGGAAAUGAAGUUUUGGUUGAUCUUCCUGGGAAAGAUGUUAAAGAAGAGGUUGAGGGGUUGCAAGAAUCGAGGGAAAGACCAGUGAUAGAGAAGGAGGGAUUGUGUGAGGAUAAUCCUGUUGUUAGUGGUGGUGGUGGUUCGUCUCCUCCACCUCCACCUGUUCCACCUCCUAAGCCUUCAUCAACUAACUUAAAUUCAAGAAGGAGUGCAUCGGGGUCUCCUAAUGCUGUUAAUGUAGGAUCACCAAGGAGAGGAUCUGCGUGGCCUGUUGUUGUUUCGGCUAGGACUUCGCCUGCUGAGUCUCGACCUUCAUCUCCCCGGGCUCAUAGUGAAAGUGAAGGGUAUAAUAGUGCUGAUGAACAAAAUCCAUGCUAUGUGUCCUCUUAUGAUGACGUAGUAAGUUGAUGAUUACCUUGUUCUUGUUAAGUAAUUAAUUGGUGUAUGUUCUCAUGAGCUUAAUUGCAUAAUUUUUUUUAUAUCCCCAGUUAGGCGAGGGAGGUGUUAGGUUAAAGUAAUGUUGUUACAAAUGACCUUGUUCGUGAUACAUGUAGGACAUAAUUUUUAUGGAUUAUUCUACCAAGAGACUUGUAGGAAUAAGGUGGAUAAUUUGGUCCUUCUCUUCAAUGCUAUAAGAGAAGAACCACAGUAAUGAAGUAAUGUUUAACUCUGAUAAACUAUCCUACACUUUAACUGGGCUACUUCAUUUAGACUUCAUCAUUUAUUUCUAGUUAUGACUAAACUAAACUUGCUUGCAUCAUUGCGGCCUAGUUUUGAAAGAGUUGUUUGUUAGGUUUCCUAUAUUGGCAUGUUAAUGUUGGGUUUUAUGAUUGUAUCAUAGUGCUUGAAGGUUUUGUAAUGCACUAUUGCAUGUUUAUAUAUUAGUUAAUUAGAAGGUUGAUUCAUGGCCUUCACUGAGAUAAUAUCUUAUAUUGAAAUGGUAUUUGCAUCCAUGUCAGGAAAGAGAGCGACAGUUUGAAAUUGAUAUUAGAAGGGUAAAAGGCUUUGAAGUAAAAAGAAUGUCAGAGGAUGGGAAUUGCCUUUUCCGUGCUGUUGCAGACCAAGUGUACGGGGACUCAGAAUUGUAUGAUUUGGUCAGGCAGAUGAGUGUAGAUUAUAUGGUAUGUUAAUGUUGGGCUAAAUAUAUUUUUCCUUCAGUAUCCAUAUUUCUGCUUUGUUGGAUCGUAAUGUAUUGUACCUAUUAGGUUAGCUUCUAAUCAAUUUUAUGACUUACUGAUUUGAUUUCCACGGGUUUAAAUGGUAUUCUCGCAAAAUGAGGAAUUUAUUAUGAAGGUCCCUGGGUUUUGUGGUUGUGAUAAUAAGUGAAUUUUCUAUCAAUUAGUGACAUUCUGCAGAAUUAGGAACACUGCCACUACCAGUCUGCCAUAGGUGGUUCUAAAACUAGGAUUUAAGAAGAUUUGAUUUUAGGUUAGCGAUUCAUAUUGAAGGUUUUUAAAUGCAUCUAGGUUUCACUAAGUCUAUGCACGCCAGAAUGCCUGGGGCUGGGCAGCAUGAAUUUUUUAUUAUAGCUGGCCAGACUUAUGACCUUUUGUUACAAAAUCAAAGAAAUGUUAGGGUUUUGACUUUUGAGAAUGAGUUAGUGAGAAUGGGUGUUUUUAUCUUUUAAGAUGUAAAUAAGCAAGGAAUAAGGGACUAAUAUAUUGUUAUUAGAAGUAAUUGAAAGUGAAACAUGAACAGUGUUGGAGAUAAUGAAGUCCUGAACUUUAACUUCUAAGAGUAGUCUGCUCUAGUUCAAGCAUAUUAAACCUAAGCCAACAAAUGGAAUGAAGGAAAUAAUUUUCUUACAUAAAUAAUGCUAUUAUCCAGACAUUAUAUUUGCUCAUUCUGGUUUAACUCCCUUGAUGUAUUGUGUUACAUCAUAUUUUCUCAUUUUUGUUCAGCUGGCCCAUUUCUCCUCUGGUCUAGCUUUUGAUAAUUAUUUCUAAUUCUACAUAAAUAUUGCCUGUGGACUGUGAAUCAAACUAACCUCCCAUCAUGGCAUGAUUCUAAUUCCAUUCCAUGUUUUAGUGUAAUUUUAGUGGUAUAAAUGCUAACUCAUUAGAUUUGCUCAUUCUUGUUACACUCAUGUGGUAUAAAUGUAAAUUUAGCGGUAUAAAUGCAACCUCGUGGUCGUUUCUUGCUCACCCACUGUUAUGAAGGAAAAAAUGUUCUUACAAAAAUGAUAUGAUAUUAUAUAGGCUAACUCAUUAGAUUUGCUCAUUCUGGUUACACUCCUGUGGUUUAUUGCACUACUACAUCUUAUUUUCUCACUUUUGCUUAGAUGGCAUAUUUUUCUUCUGGUCUUGCUUUUCAUAUACCUUUUAAUUCUAUUGAAAUAUUGUCUGGUGAUCAAACUAAUUUUGUCGCACAUUCUGAUUUCAUGUCUUUAGGAGCGGGAGAGGGAUCACUUUUCUCAAUUUAUAACAGAAGGUUUUACCUCAUACUGUAAGAGGAAGAGAAGAGAUAAGGUAUGUCGGAACAUAAUUUAGGCUUCUAUGUGGUUUUAUAUGUUUUAUAAACCUACGCCUGCAUUUGCUGGGCUUUUAGGCUUCUAAAACAAAUAUGCCAAAAUUUCCCUUGCAUGUAUUGUUUUUCAAACAAAUUUCUAAAUAUUUAGGUUUGAAUCUCCACAAAUGUUUUGAAAGCUGUACUUAUGGUAGUGAUUAAUGCAAUUAGCAGUUGAAAAAGCACAUGUACACACUUCAGUGUGCCAAUUAAUCUGGCUGUGGGUUCUGAUUGUUCCCCUCGCCCAACCCAUAUUUAGCUUACACCAUCUCCACAAAUAUUUUGAAAUUUGUUUUGUACUAACAGGAGUGAUUUAUGCAACCGGUAGUUGAAAAUUCACAUGCAAAUACUUUUUACAUGCAAAAUAAUCCAGAUGUGGGUUAUGAUUGUUCCCUUCUCCCGGCCCUUUUUUGUUUAAACCACAUUGUUUUAUUCAAGAUAUUUAGAUUGUUAUCUGUGAUUAAGUCGUCAUUUUUUCUCCACUUUCCGCUCUUCAUUCAGUUAUUUUCUUUUUCCUGCUAGUUACGUUGUGCCAUGCUUUACUCUUCUAAGAUGUUCAGACAAGCUUAUUUUACUUUAGCUUUGCAGUUCUUUCAUGAACAUUUAGUUUUUUUCUAUGAGAAAUUUGGCAAUUAUAUCACCUUGUCGUGAUAAAGGGAAUUAUUUGGCAUUCAUGCUAUGAUCGAAUAGUCCAUAGAAUUGGCGGGGAUAUAGACUUGGGUCUUUGGUGUUUAAUUUAGGUGCAGCAGUGGCUGUUAAUUUUACUCCCUUAUAGCUGUGACACAGAUUUCCUUUAAAGAAGUGUGUUUGGCUGUGUGUGCUUUGCAAAAUUUUAAAUUCAUUAAUAGUUUAUCUGUGUAUCUGUAGCAUGAAUUUGAUUUAAAAUAGUUAGUUGGUAACUCUUGAGUCUUUUGGUGUGUCGUGACAUUUUAUUUCCCAAACUUUUUAUGUAUACUUGGUCUUUACUUUUUCAACCGUGAAGUUACAGUUACAGUUAUACCUAAAAUCAUAUAUUAGUUAAAAGUGAAGCUUGUCUUUUGAAGUUAUUGAACCUAUAACGUGUAGAUAUUAGCAUUGACUGGUUUUUUUGUUAUAGCCCAUCACAUACGAUAAAGAGAUGACAUGUUAUUCUUAAUGAAAUUCUAAUCAUUGUGUAUCUCAAAUCUCACAUGUUAAGAACUUCCACUUGGUUUUGAAUGUGUCAAAUUCACGCAGAAUUUAUAUUUUCUAUAGUCAGUGCACACUUGAUAAAGUAAAUUAAGAGAGAUCUCAACAACUAAUGGAAAAAAAAAAUUGUUGCUUUUAGUUUAUUACAUGUAAACACAUUACAGGAUUUUCUGGAAUUUAUUCACUUGAUUUUCUUGUUAAUGAUUGAGUUGACAACUUUUACCUUUCCCUCUAAAAUAAGGGAUCACUUUGAAUUUUACUCCGUUAUAUUUCAGUUCUAACACCACAUGCAGUUUAGUUUGUUGGCUUAUGUUGAUAGUUGGUACUUUUUAACUUUUUUGAAUAGGCGUAAAUAUGUUAACCCUUCCUGGCAGGUUUAUGGGAACAAUGUUGAGAUCCAAGCCAUGUGUGAAAUGUAUAAUCGACCUAUUCAUAUAUACUCCUACUCCACAGGUAGAGCUUAUCUUACAUUUUUUGUAGUUGUUGCUUGUUAGUCAUCUACUAUAUUAUUUAAUAACAUAACUUACUGAUGCAGAGCCUAUCAAUACAUUUCAUGGAAGUUAUGACACCGAUACGCCACCAGUACGCCUAAGUUUUCAUCAUGGUAACCAUUACAACUCCCUUGUUGACCCACGGCGUCCCACAAUUGGUGCAGGACUCGGGUUCAGCUCUCUUCGUGGGGUGAGUACUUUGCUAUUGUAUACAAUGCAUCAUUCUUUUCUUCUUUCUAUUUUAUUGUAUGAUGCAAAUGUUAAUAAUACUUGUUAAUCUUCCAACUGACAAAACACAAAUUUGUGUUGUGCGUAUCUAUAGAAAACAUUGAGUAUUAUAGAAGCCCCAAAGAAAGGGCCCUAUAUAACUUGGUAAUUGUCUCAAUAUUACAUUGAACAGAGAUUGAUUGGAAGAUGGUUGACGGUACAUUUUCAUUUACAAUGCAGACAAAUGUUGACAAAGAUCAAGUCAAGGCUGCUAUUAAAUCUCAGCAAGACCAACAAAUCGAUAAUGCAAGUAUUUUGACUUGAAAUUUUUAACAGCGUGAAUACUUUUUGUUCUUUGAAUUGAACUUGACGCUGCUGGUUUUUACAACUUCCUUCUGACAGGCACUUUUAGCUGAGGGGCGGUUUUACUCUGAUCUUGAGCUCACAGAGAAGGAAAUUGAACUUGCCGUGAUGGAAGCUUCUCGGGCUGAAUACCUUGCCGGUGGUACAUUUAAGCAACAACUUGGCAAUCGAGAGUCGUCUACGUCAACUGCUGAGCCAUCUUCCUCUGGAGCAAGUUAGUAUCUCUUCUCAUACAAUUUGGUUUAUUUGCUUUAAAAGCAAUCUUGCAGUUCUAUUGGUUGCAAAAGCAUUAAUACCUUAUGAAAUCAAGUUUAACAAAAGCAGUUUAAGAAGUUUUCUUGCAUUUUCCCCCCCAAAUUCACCCAUCUUAAAUCUAUCAGUAGACAGACUCAUAUUGUCGGUACUUGGUCUUGAUGUAUUUGUUGAAAUUUGGUGGACUAAAUAAAGCUAACUUGGUGUAUUAAUGUGAGUUGCAGGAUCGUCAGGUAGUGAUCCCAAGAUGGAAAGUGGGAAAGGAAAUAAUUCUAAUCUUAGCAGCAGCAUGAAUAUGUUACUAUCGAUGGGAUUUAGUUACCUGCAAGCAAUUGAGGCAUACAGCAUAUUUGGGGAUGAUGUUGAUUCUAUGAUUUGUUACUUGUUGGAAACUGGCAGCAGUAGCAGACGUAAAGGAAAGGCUACUGAAUGACACGAGAUUUAGUUCGUUAAAAAAAUCAUGGAACUUAAGUUUUCAAUUGUCAUCCAGAUCGAAUAAAUAAAUAUCCUGUAUUUACUCUAGUAUGUUUUCGUAUCUCACGUCUUCACUAAGUUGUUAGAGAGAAAAUUGAGCAAAUAAUAUAAUUUAGUUUGUUAGUGUAAUCCCAAGUUUGAUAAAUGAGAGAUUAUUUGCAACAUUUUUCAAGGGCCAAAUCUAUUAUACAUCUGUAUGGGACGAUUAUAUUUAUCCAAUUUGAUUACUUGAUGCAUAUUUUAUUACUCAAUCACCAUUUAGGCACUCUGCCAAAGUUGCCGGUCUUUAACCAUCUUGGGAUCCUUAACUAAAGAAAAUAACAUGUAGGAGUAUUUGUAUUGAAAUUGGUAUUGGGUGAAUGAAAUUUUGUACAAAAUGUUUUAAAUUGUUAGAAAAUUAUUUCAGUAGAAUUUUAGGCAAGUUGUAUAAAAUUUCUAAUUCAAUGGCGAUUGAAAUGGGAAGGAUCGGUUGUAAUAGAGUUGAUGACUCUUUAAGAAUGAAUUGUGAGCCGUUGAAAUUCUGUCCUUUGGAUCUUCAAUUGUUAUUGUGACUUUUGAAUACAUUAGAUCAUUGGGCAAUAGAAGCACUAUGAUUGAAACAUUGAGAUGGAAGCGGUCAACAAAGCAAAUGAUACAUUGUCUCGAGGGAAUUAUUCGAUAAGUUGGAAGUGGUAGGUUCAGGAAGAGUUUGUUCCAGGAAUCCUGCUGUGAAACUGAUCUAUCUCUUUUCUUUUAGCUUUGAUUAGACGUGCGGUGGAUGAAGAGGUGAUCAUGGUUCCAAACACACUCUUAUUUUAUUGACAAACUUUCGUCCAUUGAAUUCAUCUAAAUGUUGAGUUUGAUUUGAACUCGUGUUUUUGUUAUGUUCCACGUUUUUGGUUUUUGAUGAUGAGACACCGAUAAUUGAUCUACAACUUCGUGGCCCACGACACCGAAUACAACAAGUUCAAUGGAAACUUCAUUGGCACAAAGAAGGAUCCGUUAAACAAACUUGUGUACAUUGCGCGACAUUACCCACUUGCGCACCUAGCAUGUGCCAUAAAAAGAAUAGGGUGAUAAUAGUUUUCCCUCGCAAGGUAAUUUAAAACAGCAAGGCUUUAAAUUUCAACAAAUAUAUUUCACAUACCUAGCGAAACCGCACCAAUUUAUAAAUUUAUGUUUAACAUGAUGUUCAAUAAAUUUUAAGUAGAUAGUUAUACGACAAAUUCUAUUGUACACCCAAAGAUUUGAGUGUAUUGGUACACUAAAUCAAUAAAUUAAUAGUUAAAUGUAUUAUUUUUUGAAGAGAAAAAUUAUUUUCUAUCAUCUAUAAUUAUAAUAAUUAAAUUUUAUUUACCAAAAACAAUAAAAUGUAAAAAAAAAAAAUUAGUAUGAUUUUUAUAAACAACAAAAUGAUAUUUUCUAAAAUAUAAAUAUCAACAAAUAGCUCUUUAUUCCAUAAAAAUAGUAAUUAAUUUAAAGAUUUUUGAAGUAUGAGUACCGAUAUACUUUAAUUUGCAGGUGUACCAUAGAAGUUCUUUAGUUAUACUAUUUGAAUACACUCUGAUGUUUUUAAAAAAUAUGAACUAGACUUAAUUAAAUUUCUAUAAAAUCGACUUGUAAAAUAAAAAAUAACCAUAUCUCAUAUAAUGUGAGACUCUCAACAAAAUUUUUACCGAAAAGAAUAGUAGUUACUAGAGUUCCUUUCCACGGCUGUUUCUAAAAAAUCACACAUUUAUUCAUAAGUACACUAAUAGAACAAAAUGGUGGUUUUAUUUUUUGAAAGUGUACUUUUGGACACAUUUAAGUGGUGGGAAAAAAAAAAAAAGCUACCUUGUUUUCACAACUGCAGUAAUUAUGAUUAUGAUAUGCUUGUCAAAGGUACUAGUUUUUGACAGGACAAAGAGGGCAUGGACCAAAAGACGAAAGAAAAAAAAAGACAAAACAGAAGCAGUUUUUUCACGUGUCCACUGUCAUUCCCUCCAAAUUUAUGUCUUGGGUACCCUCCUUGGAUAGGAUUUCUGUUGCCAUUGCAGUUGCCAUUUAAGGUCGGAUUUAUUUAUUUAAUUAAAAUUAAGCUGUGUACUCACUCACUACUCAAGCAUUUUUUUUCCUUCCCUGAUUUUCAGAUACAUUCUUCACAUGAAAUUUAUGUGCUAGGAAUUAAUUUAACUGGCUAAUAUUUUAAGUCACUCCCCCUUAAAAAAAAAAAAAAUUUAAGUCAGUCGUUAAUAUCUAAAAUAUAUGAAAUUCGUCAUUUUUCGUUUAUGUAUUUAUAAACUUAACCGAUGAAUUUCAUAUAUUUUAAGGAUUAGUUAGUAAUUUAAUUUUAAGGAGGUAUUCCCUCCGUUUCUAAAUAUAAAUAAUUUUAAUUUUUAGAUUCAUUCAAUUAAUGAUGUAUGUGGUUCAUAAUACGUACCACAUACAUCAUUAAUUGAAUGAACCUAAAAAGUAAAAUUUGCUUAUAUUUAGAAACGGAUGGAGUAUUGGUUAGUAUAUUAAUAUAGUUGGAGAUUAAAUUAAAAAGUAAAUUACAAAUUAAAUUGAUGAUUUAUUCUUUUUUUUAUUUACCUCAUCAAAUAAUUUUUUUUUUAGUUUGUAAAUGUAACGAUAAAUAUCAUCUAAAAGAUGUUUAGCCUAAUAAUAUCAACAUUGCUAAUCGUAAUUGAGUUAAGUGUUACAAACCCUCCUCAAAUAACUCUACAAUAGAAACCAUCAGUUAGUAAAUAGACUUGUUUGUUAAUUAAUCAUCAUAACCACUAACUAGAAUAAAACACCCUCAACAUCACCACGAGAGAUGUCAAACAUGCUUCUUUUUGAAGAAAAAUACAUUUUUUUAAGGUUGAAGAAAACUUGAAGUCUACUCUCUCACAUUUUACCAGAAGAAAACUUGAAGUCUACUUCCAAACUGUUUACUUGUUAAUUAAACAAUAUUUUAGAAUAGCCGUAAAAAAUUGGAAAUAUUUGAAGAAUAAAUAUGUUAAUAAUUUAGAUUUUCGGUGAAUACUAGUAAAAAUACCCGGUACAGUGAUAAUAUUAAUCAUAGAUGUUUUUAUGAAUAUAUUAACUAGCAUAUAUGGAAUAUAUAUGUAACACAAACAUAUAUCAUUCACAAAUAUUGGUUGCAUAUUCUUUUUUUUUUUUUUUUUUAAGGAUUGCAUAUUUUUUUAUAUAUAUAUCAUUCACAUAUAUUGGUCCAUCGUGAAUCAAAAAUUAAAAAAUAUUUAAAAUUUCAAUAGUAACAUACAUUAUUGUUUUGAAGUAGGCGUUUUCUUUUUAAGGUGGGAGUAUUUAAGUUAGAUGAUAACUUAAUUGAUUCUAGAUUAAUUAAAACAAUAAAAAAUAAAUAUGUAACUUGUAUUGAACCAUCUCUAAUCAUGUCACGUUAAAAGAUGUGAACUUUUACCUCUAAAGAUUAUUGUCAAAUGCCGUUGAAUUUUUUGAUAAUUUAAUCUUUAACAUCGAUACAGGUAGAUCAUUUAUAAAGAUGAUUAUUGUAGCAUUCACUUUUAGAACAAUCCUAAGUGUGAUCUAUAGAUUAAAUAUUUUCUUUUGUCAAAAAAGAUAUUGUCGGAAAAUUAACGUUAGUUUUUAUUGCAAUAUUUUCUUUUAUUGGACAGAUAAAACCUUUUUAUUUUUUGAUGGAUGGACAAAUAAAACCUUAAAAAGUUGCACAAACUAAAAAGAGAGGGAGUAAUUAACAAAUUAGUUGGAAGGUUAUUUAAGUAAUUUCAAAAUUCUAUUUCUUGAUGAAGAAGCUGAGUCUGAUAGACUCAAACACGGGUUCACCUGCAUUUCAUUUUCCAUUGCACUCUUUCUACGUCUUUCAUCAUCUUCUCCUUCUCACCCAACCCUAACCCUAACCCUAAUCCCCAAUUUUCAAUUCUAGGGUUCAAUCCCUAACUCAACAAUGUCUCAGAACGGGAAAUUGAUGCCGAAUCUCGACCAACAAAGCACUAAGCUUCUCAAUCUCACUGUUCUCCAACGAAUUGACCCUUUCGUUGAGGAAAUUCUCAUUACUGCUGCUCAUGUUACGUUCUAUGAGUUUAACAUCGAUCUUAGCCAAUGGGUUCGUUCAUUUUCACCCCCUUUUUUUUUGUGUUUUCUCUCUCUAGUUAGUUUCUCUCUCAAUGUUGUGUUUGAUUGUUUUGCAGAGUCGUAAGGAUGUUGAAGGAUCUCUCUUUGUUGUUAAGAGGUUUGAAAUUUUGUAUUUUGUUAACGGGGUUGAUGGGUUUUAAUUGAUUUAAGUGGUUUAAUUGGGAAUUUGUUUUUAACUGAGGUUAAUUGUGGUUUUGUUUUUUUAAUUUCAGAAAUACUCAACCAAGAUUUCAGUUUAUUGUGAUGAAUCGUCGGAAUACUGGUUAGUGAGUCUGUCUGUUUUUGUUGAUUCUAAAAAUUUUCAAUUUUUGUUAAAUUUUCUUAUUUGGUUUGGUUAUGAGAACUUAUGUUUUGCUCCCAAACAUGUGUCCAAUGGAUUAUUUGUAAACUAGACUAUACUAAGCAGUGUUAUCAAUCACCGAUAGGGGAAAAUGAUUUUUAAAAAUCCGCUACUCAAUAUUGCUUUAGCGCCCGCCACUAUAGCUGCAAUAUGACAACAUUUUGUACUCCAUCUUAUAUUGUGAAACACUAGUGGUUUUAACUUCUAUUUGCGCUGUAUAACUUCUAUUUAACAACACUGAUAGGAAGUGAGAUCAAAACACUGUCGUCAAAUCAGAAAUGCUUGAAUCAGAUGCUAUUACAUUUUCUGUUAAUAUGGUGGCUGCAUAAAUUUCAGUUUGUCACCUAGGUUGUUGGAAAGUUAGUAUUUUUAGUAUAGUUUUUUGAGUUACAUUCUGGUCUUGGAAUAUUUAAGUAUGUAAUUAUUCCUCUAUAUUUGCUCGUGUUUGGUAAUAAUAUAUUUUAUAGUUAGUUGGUAUUCUUUUAUACUUAAAUUUAUAGAACUUGUUUUAGGUUUGGCUAUCGGCCUCCAUUUUCUGCAUCUUGCACUCAAUAUUUUGAAGUGUUGUCAAAUAGUGGCACUAUAUCACAGUGGAUGUUGAGGGAUCACUUAUAAAAACCACAAUUUUAUACUAGUUUCACUAUUAUAUGACAAUAGCCAAUAUCAGCUGCUAUUCCACUUUUUGUUACCAGAUGUAGCGGCAAUAGAUGAAAAAAGCGAAUUUUAGGGUUUUUAAAAAUAGUAAACAAAGAGUCUGCGUGUGCACCAGACAUGACCUAUUUUUAAAAUUGAAAAACUGAAGAGUUGGUGACUAUUACUCUUAUAUUCACCGUAAUGUGCCAGCCUUUCAAUAUGCAAGCCAUGCUUAGCCUCCAUUCCCUUUUUAAUUUUCAUGCAACAUGCCUUUUUAUAUUUAAUUAUUGACUUAUUUCAACUGCUAUUUGGCUUCUACUAUUUGCCCGCAACACUAUCUGAGUAUCUGCUAUCAUUUCACAUAGUAGGUUUUUCAGCAUUUUGCUAUUUUCCGCAAUCCACUAUUGAUAAAAGUGAUAUUUAGAGUGUUGCGAAUUAUUAAUCAAAAAUUGUACAUUUGUAUUGUAGAUAUUGUUUUGUGGAUGAAAAUAUACUUUUGUGAUUGGUGGUGAUUGAGAAUUGAUAAUGCCCUAUCUCCAUGUAUGUAUUUAAUCCUUGUCAUUGUUGGCAUAAGCAGAAAAUUUGGUGGAAAACCUCCUGGGGGAUUUCGAGUAUGAAAUUCAGGUUCCAUAUCUAUUGUAUAGAAAUGCUGCUCAAGAAGUGAAUGGUAUUUGGUUCUAUAAUGCUCGCGAAUGUGAAGAGGUUGCAAAUCUUUUUAGCAGGUAUUGUUUUCACGUUUUGGUGAAAAUGUUUGCUCUUGCGGUGUAUCUGAAUUGUCAAGGGAGAAUACUCCAUGUUUGAACUUGUAUAUUUUGUUUUCAAAAUAACUUAUAAUAAUAUAUUUAUUAGAGAGAUUUAGGAAUGUAGGAUUUUAAAGAGUAGUUAAUACAAUUUCAGAAAAUAUUUCCCUGGAAUAAAGGGUAAUUUACCAUUAUAGUUUUGAAAGCUAAACACCAAUGUGCUGUACCUAUUAGGGUUUGGAUGUGCCAUCUCUCCCUCUGCCAGUUCCUCUGGAUGAUUAGUUGAACUUAAGUGUUAACGUCCAAAUACAGUAUUUGUUUUGUAUGCCAGUCAAUUUCAAUUUACGACCAUUAGUUGGAGGGUUAUGAAGUUAGUUGAUGGUAUACCAUUGAUGACACAUACUAGGCAAUAAUUGACUUUUUUGUUCAAUAAUUUACUUAAAAUAUCUAAUCUUUUGAGCAUUACCCUGGAUUGCAGAUUUAUGUUAAUAUAUACAAUCCUUUAGAUAUUUCCCUAUACACCCAGACUAGAAAUUUGUUGCACUUCUUUGAGAAUAGGAAAAACCUUGAUUUAUCGUUAUUGAUAUUUUAUUGUCGAAAUGAUUUCCUUGUAAAACCUGCAAAAAAUAAAUAAUCAGAAUUGUACUUUAGACACAUUCAAUGGGGAAAAAAGUUUAUUACAACUAUUUCCUAGUAAGUUAUCUAAGAAACGGCGAACAUUAGCAGUGGAUAGAUAGGCUUUGAAUGGUGUGCAUUGUAUUUGUUGUUAGAAUUUUAGAAAGGCAUACAAAAGUACAAUUUUUGUUAGGGCCGAGAAAAGUAUAUAAAUUAUAGAUUAUUUAUUUAGUGGUGGCUUUGGUUUCUGAUGUUCUUAUGAAUCUAAAUUGAUUUGUAAUUCAUAAAAUCAUCAUUAAAUUCUCACCUCACAGGCGUACACAUGUGCAUCUGGUCAUCAUAUAUAUAUUCUCACUUAUGUUUGGCUAAUUUUCAGGAUUCUUAAUGCAUAUGCCAAGGUGCCUCCAAAGUUAAAGGUCUCUUCUACAAAGAGGUAAUUAUAUGUUUCUAGCAACACCUUAUUGCUCUCCAAUGAAUGGCAGAGCUGGUUUAAUCAAUAUUAUUAUAUUUCUUUGCUCUAUCUACCCCGUUCUACUCUACUAUUAUAUAUUCAUAUCCAUGCAUUUGACAAAUGCAUGGGGUUUGAAGUGAUCUUCAUGGACGACUUCUCUUUCUGUUGCAUGUUUUGUUUGCGAGUUCUGUCUGAUCUCUAUCUCAUGUAACUCUACUUUGAUGGGUCAUACCUAUCUUUCCCAACACACUUUCAUGGACGGUUCUGUCUCUAUAAGUGCAGAUCACCACUUGCAUGUCGAUAUAUAAUGACUUUGCAACUCACACCUUGGGCAUGUUGUUGUAUAAUGUUAUUUUGGUUUGGAAUGGGAUAAGUUCUUUAAUUUGUCUAUCUUUGUGUCAUUUGUAUACAUUUUAGAAAUUCGCACCGUUUCCCUUUUCAAGGGGGUUCCCAUCUUUGAUAUUCAUAAAUAUUGGCACCAUGUUGCAUUCUUAGAUUUCUUCUUUGUACUUUGUCCGCUUAAGCUUUGGAUAAUCUCUUACCCUCCCCCUCAUUGUACUAUCCUCAUUUUAUCUUUAGGAAAAAAAAAAAGUAGUAUUCCCAUCAAAAAGAUUUCAACAUCAACAGUAAGUGAUUAUUCUGUAGUAGACAGAUAAGUUAUGGAUGCAUACAUUGUCAUAUUUCUGUACUCUAUACUUCAUAUUCAACUAAUGAAGCCUCACUUGCAUUUAUUGCAGUGAAUUUGAGGAACUGGAAGCAGUACCAACUAUGGCAGUCAUGGAUGGUCCUCUUGAGCCAUCAUCAUCAAUUACUUCCAAUGUAGCUGAUGUUCCUGAUGAUCCAUCCUUUAUAAAUUUCUUCAGUGUAUGUACCAUUGCGAACACUUUUCUUUUGCUCCAAAUAAUUUGUUACGACGACCUUUUUUCCUUUCAUUUUCUAAAUUGUCUUGAAUUGGUUUUAUAUCUUGCAUGCUUAUCUUGCUUGUGUCCUUUGGUUCCCUGGUACAUAAGCGCUCCUCAUUUUUUUAAUUUUUAACCAUAUUCGUGUAAAAUAUUUUCGUCUAUGUCGCAAUAGUCUUCUCUGCUUAUUGAUGUUGGAGAAUAAGAGAAUUGAAUUAAAUUAACAAAUGCAAACUGGAUAAGUUAAUUGAUGUUUUUUCUUUUAAAAUUGGGAAGGGGGAAAAUCAUUAAUUAAAGUGGCACUAACAACCAUUUUACAAUUCUCCCCAAGGGGAUUUGAACUCCAUCCUUUGUGGGUAUAAGGUCAAGACUGGGAUUAAUUCCAAAUACAAUUUUUAAUUCUUCUUUCAACGCAUGUACCUACUUUAGUUCUGACAUUCUUAGUGACUCACAUUUUUGGAUUUAUAUUUUGAAUUGAAAUUUCAUUGGUUGUCCAUUUUUUACACACUUUUUCUAUGCUAGACUUGUUUGGACAUAUUUCAAAACUAUAAGAUCUGCUGAUGAGCAUAUGGUGCUCCACUUAUGAUCAUUUUCAUUUGUAUGUAAAUAUGUAAUAUUCAGCACAUGGAUAUUUUACAAAUUUGUUCUUGUUAAACAUUUGUAACUCAGUUCUGAUCAGGUCGUUUAUUCCUGAUACAUUAUUAUUACAGGCGGCUAUGGGUAUCGGGAAUACUUCAAAUGCUCCGAUCACCGGACAACCUUAUCAGUCUUCUGCUACAAUUUCUUCUUCUGGGCCAACUCAUGCUGCUACACCUGUUGUGCCACUGCCAACCUUGCAGAUACCAUCUCUUCCAACAUCUACUCCGUUUACACCCCAGCAUGAUGCUCCUGAGUCCAUCAACAGCAGCAGCCAAGCCACAAAUCUUGUGAAGCCUUCUUUUUUUGUUCCUCCCCUUUCUUCUGCAGCAAUGAUGAUGCCCCCUGUGUCUUCAUCCAUACCUACUGCCCCUCCACUUCAUCCUACUGGUACUGUACAACGACCUUAUGGUACUCCAAUGCUACAGCCAUUUCCACCUCCAACUCCACCACCUUCACUUGCUCCUGUUUCUUCUCCCCUUCCAAACCCAGCUAUUUCUAGAGAAAAGGUUCGAGAUGCUCUGCUGGUGCUCGUUCAGGUUAGUUUACUUUCUUGGGAGCUAGUAAUAUUUAUGAUCUUGUCACACUAUUCCUUACUAAGAAGCAUAGAUUAUACCAUUAUUUAUUUGUUUGUUUGUUUGUUUUUCCUCUCAAUUUCUAAUUUCUCUAUUUUUUGGCUGCAUGGUAGGACAAUCAAUUCAUUGAUAUGGUUUAUAAAGCGCUGCUGAAUGCUCAUCAAUCAUGACUUUCGAGAGGUGUUUAAUUAUCAACUCACUGGAAGGAUUGUUUUUUGGGCUGAAUUACAUUUGCUAUAAGUUUUAGGCCAGGCUUUAAUCAUGUCCUAAACUUUUAAAUGUUUCGGUCAUAACAAUUUGUAAAAUUGGUUUUGCAUUGUGACUGCCAUUUUGAUCUUGCUAGUUUCCUGAAUGUGUCAUAGUUCAGUUUUCUACGGGUUAAACUGCCAUAUCAACUAUAUAUACUGACAUAACAUGGCAGGAAAUGAUGAAGGUCCAGAUGAGUGGUUAUAGGGGUGCUAAGGUUGUUAUUAAGUCUUGUUUAUUGUGUAUUUUAUUAAACUGUUAUGGUAAGACGACUUUCUUUGCAUAGCACACCAUUUGUCGGUGUUUCAUUUUUCAACAAACAUGGACUCUGUUGCAUAAUGUAAGUAUAUAGUCAGCCCAUUUUUUGUGUGAAUUACACAUCAACUGAAAAGCAUUCUUCUGACUGACAAAUCUGUUUAUCCUCCACCCCUAGUGAUUUUGCAAUAUCUCUACAUUUUUUUUAACAAGAUGCGAUAUAUCUACAUCUAUCAACCUCAAAAUUGCAUUGUUUUAGGUAAAGAAUUUUAAUAUUUAUUUUUAUUUUUGUUUGUGAAAUUCUAGGCUUGAGUAGUUGACUAUUAUGCAAAACGUAUUAUAUCCUUGAAAAAUGUAAGAUAUAUGUACAGGUUACAUACACAAAAAAUAUUAAAAGAUCAAUUUUUAACUCAUCAAACCCUUUGUCCAACUCAACUUUUGUUUUUAAAAACUAUUUCUUCACUUCCACAAUACCCAAACACAGGAAAACCACACAACUAGUAUUCUGAAUUUGUACACAUUCGAGACAUUUUUAUGGAACUAUUUUAUUCCACACCAAUUAGUUUAUCUCAAACCUUCCUUGAUAUAUUUUCCCACCCCCAUCUCCCACACCUAUUUGUCUGCAACAUUUUCCUGUAUGAUUGUAUCUUAUUAAUCUCAUUUACUCAUUUAUGAUCUCCUCUUCUCAAAAACUAAAUAAAUCGCAUCUUUAUCUAUUACCAAGUUAAAUAAUCUAUCAAAUUUGUCGUGUAAUUUUGUACUCGCAAUCCAAGGAUCCCUUUUCAAUCCAAUGAUCCCUCCAAAAUAAUGUGUCCAAACCAUUUUACCACUCUUAUUAAAUUAUCAAUCCUACACAUAUACUUCCACCGUGUAUUUUAAUAUUUUAUAUCAAUGUCAUUGGUCACCCACUUUUAUUCCCCACAACCAUUAAAAGCUAUCAAGUCCUAUCAAAGGAGGUUUGGUCCAUGAGAAGAGAUUAAAUUUCUUCAAUGUAGUAAAUCAAAGUUCAAAUUUCGACCGGGAGAUGUAUCCACAUUUAAUGUUCGAUACGUCUCAAAUUUGUUUUGCUUCAAUAGAAAGAACAUGUUAGAAAUUAAAAAAUCUCUCUCAAGUUCUUACCCCUAACUCCCCAUCCUCCUCGGUUACGAAAAUCAUUUCUUAUUUUAGCCAAUGUUCAUUCCAACCAACAAUAAAGUACUUUUGCCGCCUCUACCAACAAUGUUGACAUACAUUUAUACUCGCCAGUAGAGUUUUAUAAAGGUUCACUUAAGUUUCGAAAUAAGUUUAAAAAUUACAAUACAACUUUAUUGCUAUGGUGUUUGCCAAUAUUUUCCUUCCCACAAUUUAUGGUUCAUUCACGAAUUAUAGAUUUGUCACCUUCAACUCCUAUAAACACCAAAAUGGUAUCCAAAAUACAAUCCUAAAUUCCCAACUUUAUUGAUUUGUUCAUCAUUGUAUUACAUGGUUUUUAUAUAAUACUAUGCCGACCUCAAUUAACGGACAAGACUUAGUUGUUGUUUAUCAUUAUGUUAAAUCCUUCAACAACAAUUGGAAAGGAAAAAAAAGGUGAGAACAUGUCACCCUGUCUCGGACGGAUUGCACUUGUGUGACAUAAUGUUACAUGAUAUUGACUAAUUCAAGUGUGAGAUGUGACAAUACAAUUUUUGUAAACAUAAAAAGAUGUGAAAGAGAAAGAAAAUAGUUGAAUUGACUUAGGCGUCACAAUUGGAUUCGUCGAUGUCAAUGACGUUCUCUCCUUAGUGGUACACAAAUGGAGUCCAUCUCAAAUCCUUGCAAUAACAAACCUUUUUUUGUUGGAUUACCAUUUACCAACUCAAAUGUUCAUGGAGAUCUUGAACAUCUUUCUCAACUGUGGCACAAUUAGUUCAAAUUCUUUCAGAAGCGAAUGCUUUAGAAUAUUCCAUUCUUGUAGCAGCCACCGCUUCGGAUCCUGCACCUCUGCAAUUUCUGGCCCCAUAUUCUGGGUGUGCCAGUUCAUCUCUUUCAACUUUCAAGUCUCAUAACCUCUCUUAGAAACUCCCAAUAUAUCGAAUCAUAUGUUAUUCUAAAGUCCACAUAGAAUCAUACAUUUACACCUAUAAAAAAUAAAACAUAGUAUCUUUUAUGAUGUCAACCUUUCAAUUCUUAAGGAAAUGAGCUACCAGUGAUCUAAAAAAAGUUCAGCUGAGAUGUAAAUAAAAAAUACAUAUAACUUUUAUUACUAAGACUAAAAACACCGAUUAUUUACAUUUGUAACGACUAAAAAAUAAUUACCGAUAAAAAUAUUUACUUUUGUAACGGCUAAAAAUAAAAUUAUGGAUAUUUAUAGAAAUCAAUGAUUUAAUUAACCGUAAAAUAAAAAGGCAGUUUGUCAAAACAAAAACAAAAAAAGUUACCGAAAAAAAAAAAAAGCAUUUUCUUUAAUAUUUGAAAUUAGGGGUGUUCAAAACCAAACCAAUCCAAUAUAAAAACCGUAAAUCGAACCAGCCCAAAUCGAAACCGUAAAAAAUUGCAUUUUGUUUGGAUGUAUUCGGAUCAUUUUUUUACUCAACCGCAUAGUUUGGUUUGGUUUUCGGUUUUUAUUUUACCAACCCGAACCAAACCAAAUCAAACCGCAACAUAGCAAAAACACUAAUUAAAAUCGAUGUCACCUAGACUAAUACUAAUAGAAACUCAAUGAAAACUUUUAUAAAAUGGCAUAUUUGUUCUCUUGUAAGUUUCUUCUUUGCUUUUUAUUUCAAAAUGUAUUUAUGUUCUACUUGAACUUACAGAGAAUGAUAAAAUCUUGGUAUUUUACAUUUCUUACACAAUAGAAUUAAUUUUUGUCCACAUUUUUAAUUUGGUUUAUGUUGUUUGGUGAAAUUGAAAAUGAAAAUGUAAUGUGGAAUGAAAUUAAAAACAUUAUCGGAAACAUUGUUGAAAAUAUAUUGCGUUUUAGGUUUUUAACUCGAUUUUAAUGUUGGAAUAAAAUAAUUCUAGUGUCCCAAAAAAAACUGCACCAACCGAUCCAACCCAAACCGCAAUGGUUUGGUUCGGUUCAUAUUGUAUUUUAAAAGUCAAUCAAAGCAAAUCAAACCGAAUGAUUUUCGGUUCGGAUGACUUUUAGCCUCAAAACCGAAUCAAACCGCUUUGCGAACACCUCUAAUCGAAACCAUUAUCGAUUUAGGUUAAAACUUCAUAAGCAUUGCACUGUUCCUUGAACGAGUGAAGUGAGGAAGCAAUGACUCGUUUGAGCUCUGAGCAGGUAUUGAAAGACAACAAUGCCGUCAAUCCAAGUUCAAUUUCCAGUCUUCACCUCACUCACAAAGCUCUUUCCGAUGUAACUUUCCAUCCACCCCCUUUUCUUUUCUCUAACCCCUUUUGUUAAAACCCUAAAAAAUCAUAACUUUUUUGAAUCUUUGUUAAUUUCCCAGGUAUCAUGCUUAGCCAGCUUCAAUAAAUUGGAAAAGCUUGACCUAAAAUUCAACAAUCUCACUUCACUUGAGGUAUUUUAUUUCUUAAUUUUUUUAAAUUAAGAAUUUAUUUUUGAAGUGUAUUUGAUUGGAUUUUGUAUGUGUGGUGUAAUAGGGAUUGAGGGCAUGUGUUACUUUGAAGUGGUUAUCAGUUGUGGAGAAUAAAUUGGAAAGCUUAGAAGGAAUUCAAGGACUUACUAAGCUCACUGUAAGUAGUAGCUAGCUACUUUGUUAAUAUCAGUAAUAUUUUUUAUUUUUAAAGUUUAAUUUUUAAGCCAUAUCCUAUAUGUAUGGGUAGCUUAGAAGGGUUUAUUUGUUAUUGAUAGCUUUUCUUGUGUUAAGGGCCUGUUUGGAUUGGCUUAUUUUUGAGCUUGUGAAAAAUAGCUUAUGCAAAUAAAUAAGCUUUUAUGUUAAUUCAUGAGUUCUCACUAACGCAAAUUUUAUCUUCAUAAGCUGUUUUUUCAUAAACUACCUUGACAAGCUUAUGAAUAAUACAUAAAAACUUACAUAAGCAAAAAUAUAAGGCAAUCUAAACAGGCCCUAAACUUGCUAUAUUUCUAUUUCUAUGGGAAAAUAGGAUACGCACCGACAAUGUAAAAUAAUUUUUACACUGUCAUCCAAUAGUAACCGUGUAUUCAACCAAAUUACCCCACUACAUAUAUGCCCCACUUAAGGGUAUGAUAUGGAGAAAUAGUUGAUUCCUAAUGGAUGCAAGUGUAAAAUUAAUUUACACUGACAUAGCAUAUCCAUUAAACUCUAUUUGUAUGGAUUUAAUAUAUAUAUAUAUAUAUAUAUAUAUAUAUAUAUAUAUAUAUAUAUAUAUAUACAUAUACACUGUCAGUGUAAAUAUUUUUACACUGUCAACCAAUUUAAAUCCUCGGAUAGUCAGAUCGUUAAAAACAUGUGACUUUAAUCAUAAUUACUUGUAAACUUACAUAUGAUUGAUUGUGAUUUGUUGGCAGUGUAUCAAAAUUAAAUUCUGAUUGUAUUGAGAAACCAAAGUUGUAUGAUUAAGGUCAUGGAGAGUCUUCUCAUCUUGAGAUUUAUGUGAUUGUAGUUCCACUAAUGAAACUGAAUUUCAAAUGGCUGAUAGAAAUUAUCUUGGUCAAAUGGCCACCGAGUAGAAUUGUUUAGUUUCGGAUGAAUAAGCUGUUUUAUUUUGCCAGUGACAGUAUUUUUGUGUACUUAUAUCUUAUUAAUAUACAUGUUAUGAGUAUCUUUAUGGUAAGUACAGAUUUAUUUCCAUGUGCUCGAGUUUAUAGUUAUUGAGAUUAUAUUUGUUAGAAAGUAGAAACCUUUCAUCUCACAGGUCAUGCUAAAUGUUUAAUAAAGCGUAAUGCUUACGGUCUUAAUAGCGUUGUUACGCUUGUACAGAGAGUGGCAUUCUGCUGAGUUAUUUUCAGAAAAUGGGGAUUCUUCAUUUCACUACUUUUUCUUGUGUUUGUUUUGUUUCCACAUCCAUAUGUUCAGCAUAAUUUACUAAACAUAUUUUUGUCGAACGACCUGCCUAUGCUUAUAAUUUGUAAUAAAAUGCAAUGAGUUAUAUGAGAAUGUAAGAGUCAUUUUUAUACGAUCAUGUGAACCAGGUACUAAAUGCAGGAAAAAAUAAACUUAAAUCUAUGGAUGAGAUUGGGUCACUUAGUACCAUCCGUGCCCUGAUUUUGAAUGGUGAGACUUCUUACUUUAUCACAUGCCAGCCUCGUCUAUUUUGAAAGUUGAACUUAGAACAAUGCAUGCAAAAAAUAUUAGUAGUGAAUCUUUAUAUAUAUAUAUAUAUAUAUAUAUAUAUAUAUAUAUAUAUAUUUCUGUCUUUCUAAUUUUUACAAUCAUGUUUACUUUUGUUUUUGACAGACAAUGAGAUUGUCUCCAUUUGCAAUCUUGAUCAGAUGAAAGAAUUGAAUACUCUCGGUAUGACUAAUUGUCUUCAAUUUCUUUGAAGUCUUAAGAUUUUCUGCGCUAGUAGGAUAAGUUUCUGCCACAGUCCAUCUUUUUCAGACUUUAGCGAGUGAGACGGCUUUGAUGCUGUGCUUUCAUCACAAUAGGCUAUAUUUUAGUUUUGAUUGCUUCUUAGUUUUUAUCUAUUUAUAAAAAUGAUGCACUUUUUGAAAGCAAAUGUUACUUGAAAACAAGAGAGUUUGUAAGCUGGAAGUAUAAAUAAAAUAAAAAAAAUUACUCAAAAACUUUAGUUCUAAACUGUUAAAGUAAUUGAUUCAAACUUUUUGAUAGAUCCUAUUUCCCAAGGGAUUUUAUAAGAAGAGGAGGUUUAUCAACAUACAGUUGUUAAAUUUUUGUAUGCAUGCAACACAACUCACAGACACAUGCGCACACUAUGCACCUGUUGUAUGUUUGAAAUGCAAACUAUUUUUGGCCAAAUAAUAUCUUGCUGAUGGUUCCAGCUCAAAUAAUUUUUGAAAAUCUCUAAUUUCUGUAGUUCUAUCUAAAAAUCCUAUCCGUAAAAUUGGCGAGGCUCUGAAGAAGGUGAAAUCCAUCACAAAGGUAAAGUUUCCCCCUAAGCUGUUAAGCUCCUUUGGUGCUCAUUAGUUAUUUCAGUAUUGUAUUCUGAUUUCUCCUAAUUCCUCUUCUGGUUCCAGCUUUCCCUUUCUCAUUGUCAGCUUGAGGGUAUUGACACUUCCCUCAAGUUUUGUGUUGAACUGACAGAGCUUCGUCUUGCUCACAAUGAUAUUAAGGUGUGCCUUAAAUUCGUGACGCGGCUUUGCUUUUUGAUUCUACAUACUUUUGGAAUGUUCAAUGUGGUUCAUUCAUAUCACAUUUGCUUUUUGACUUAAUUUCUUUAGAAUAUUUUGCUUUAUAUUGUGUACACUAUUGUGCUAACUUUUGGAUUUCAGUCUCUCCCAGAAGAACUAAUGCACAAUUCAAAGCUUCGGAAUUUAGAUUUGGGGAAUAAUGUGAUCGCAAAAUGGUCAGAUAUAAAGGUUUGUCAUCUGGAACUCUUCCAACAACAUUUUAUCAUUAUCUAGAACACUUAACCAUGUACCUUCAUCUUGUAUUGCAACUGUAGGUGCUCAAAUCACUCACCAAACUGAGAAAUCUCAAUUUACAAGGAAAUCCUGUUGCUACAAAUGAGAAAGUUAUAAGAAAGGUGAUCCCCCUGUUUUUUUUUUGGUUCAAAAUGUUAGUUUUUAUGACAUUUUUAAAUUUCAUCCUUAAACAACCAUGUGUAUGAUGUUACAGAUUAAGAAUGCAUUGCCAAAGCUACAAGUAUUCAACGCCAAACCAAUAGAUAAAGAUACAAAGAAUGAGAAAGGUCACAUGACCGAUGAUGCUCAUGAUUUUUCAUUUGAUCAUGUCGAUCAAAAUGAGGAUGAUCAUCUUGAAGCUGCUGACAAAAGGAAGUCCAAUAAAAAAAGAAAGGAAACUGCUGAUGCAUCCGAGAAGGAAGCUGGGGUCUAUGAUAAGGAAAAUACAGGUCAUAACAAGGAUAAUGGAAAUAAAAAGAAAGACAAACUCACAGGUACUGUUGAUCCUGACACGAAGAAUAAAUCAACGAAGAAAAAGCUAAAAAAGGACGACAACAAGCCCUCGGAAAAAGCUUUGGCUCUUGAGGAGAAUGUUAAUAGGACUGAGAAGAAAAAGAAGAAUCGAAAGAACAAGGAACAAAGUGAAUUUGAUAUUAUUGAUGAUGCCGAAGCUUCAUUUGCUGAAAUUUUUAACAUCAAGGAUCAGGAAAAUCUGAAUCAUGGUGGUGAAAUGAAGCUACAGGACCAAGUGCCUAAGGAUUUGAAAUUGGUGAGCAGCAUAGAAACUUUACCUGUCAAGCAUAAGAGUGCCAAAAUGCAUAACGUGGAGUCUCUAUCAUCUCCAGGAACAGAAAUCGGAAUGGGAGGUCCAUCAACAUGGGGAGAUUAGUUAUAACUUGUCGAGAUAUGCCGCUAUGUUUAAAAACCUGCAAUUUUUGACUCUUGACUCAUCUGUUAGUUUUCUCAUUGCAUCUCUCCUUGUUCAGGGUGAGCACAUUUAUUUUCUGCUUUGUUUUUGACAUUUUUGACCAGUAGGAAUCGAGCUCGGUACUCUAGGGUUUACAACCAACCACUUGUGCUAAGCCCAGGUGGAGGCUAACAUGUGAAUUGCACAUCAGAUUCUGGCCCUGCUCGUGAUGUUUGUCUCUUUAGAUUCAAUCAAUACCUUUCUUGCCUUUUCCAUUAUUUAGUGAGUUUUUUUUGUAACCAAUUACUUCAAAUGAAUUUCUUCAUAUGCCAUUAAGUUUCACGUCUCCUCUCCCCUCCCCUUUUUGCAUGAGUACUAUGAAAUGCAGUUAGAAAUUGUUGUUGCUAUCCAAAGGGGGUUUAAAAUUUCCAGUUACUCUUAUUUGUAAUCUUCAUCCAAAAAUGUAAUUGUGUGUAUACAUGUCAACCACUGGCAAAUGCAACAAUAUCUUGGUAUCCAUGUAUAAUCAAAAGAUAUUUUUGGUACAUUGAAGUUCUUGUCCUUAUUUAAAUUUAUAAUUUUAUUUGAAUAUGCAAUAUAUGUUGGGGUAAACUGUAGUUUUUUCUUUUUUUAAAGUAUUUUUUAUCCAAUAUGUGUGAGAUUGAUUAAUUCUGAAUAGUGAUAACGCAUUUUGCUUCUCUGAAUAGAAACAAUUCAUUUUAUACGGUAAAAUUAGUGGAUCUCAGUUGUUGAUGAUUGAAUAAAUGAAGGCUAGGAUAUGUUUUUGUAAGGUCUUGAUGUUAUUUUUUCAAUUGGUCAAUUUUAUUUUUUUAUAACACAAAUUUUGGGUGAGGAGAUCGAGCACUGGUUUAAGGCGUGAAAAGUCUUAAACCGCAAAGAACGUUUACAAAGAAAUUGACAUUUACCUUCUUUCAAUCUGAGACCUAUCUUUUUAUCUCUAGAUUAAACCGUUUAUUUAUUUUAUUAUUGAUUUCAUUGUAAUAAUUUCCGUUUAAUUUGUUAGAAAGGAAGGAUCAUAUUGAUAUAAUAACUUUUGUAAAAAAGAGACUAUUCUAGAACAAAAAAUGCUAUCACAUUUAGUAUUGGACAUAUCUUGAAUAGGAUUAAGUGGAGGGGAACCUAUGAUGAAUAAAAUAAAAGUGCUAUCGAAUUUGAAACAGAAAAAUAAAUGGAGCUACUUGAAACAGAAAAACAGAAGGCACACAUUGAGAUUUUUAGAAGUGAUGUGAAAACAUAUAGAACCCGCGUACAAAGAGUAAUGUUUAUUGAAACUACUCUUCUCCUAACCACAACUAGACGGUCUUACAAAUUAUAAACGUGUGAAGUACUUACUUGUCGCAAUUUGGACAUGAAAUUGUCAGCGUUUACAGUUACACUUCAAUGUCAACAUUGAUUGGAAAUGUCAAAAUAAAAUGUCAAUAUUGAUUGAAAAACAACAACGAAACCCAUACGCAGCCAAAAACGAAAAUAUCUUUUCAUGGACUAGUGUGUGUAUCUUUCGUUCUAUUUCUAGUCAAAAUUUAUUUUGUAUAAAAUAUAUCAAAACAUAAAUUAUUUUACGUUCAACUUACUUUUAUUAAAACCAUUUAAAGACAUAAUACAUUCACUCUAAAUUAAUUUUUAUCGAUGUAAAACCAAUGUUUUCUAAAGUGAACCUUGCAUUGAAAUGUUGAGAGUUGAGACCUCUCUGUCAUCAUUUAAUUAAUGUAAUAGUUGAAUUAGAUUAUAAAUAAAUAAUUCGAAAGUGAUCCAAUUGAAGUUAGGGCAAAGUCCUAUAUGGACUAAUCAAAAAUAAUUUGAACAUGAGAUCAUGGCCAAUCCUAAGAUUUUUGGUGCCCUAGACGAAUCAAUAAAGAUGUACGUUUUUAAUCAUUCAAAUGUCUUUUUUCUUGCAUUUUCGUUGGAAAAGAUUCGUUCAUAGGUUUUCUAAAAACGUAUUUUCAAUAGAAUCAAUCAAAGAGAGUUAAAAACAAAUAUUUCUAUAUAAUACUAACUACUAAUUAAAAAUAAUGAUUUUUCUGCUCCUUAAAAAAUGGUGUCAUGGAUUCAUGCCCUUUUCACCCACCCUCAGAACAUAAAAUAAAGUAAAAACAUAAAUUACACCUUGUUCACUUGCUUGCUUUUUAAUGAAUAUUGACAAUGAUAUAAAAAAAAUUCAAAUCUGUUUGAUUUUAACAAAAAUAAUUUAUUUUCUUCAAAGUUGAAUAAUUUAAUUAUGCUCCGGACGUUUAUCUUAGUAAAGUUAUUCACCUAUCGAAAAAAAAGGUACAAAAAUAGUUAUCCUUUGAACAACUUUAAUUUUUUUUUUUAUUCAACUUUUGAUUGUUAUGUUUUAUUAAUUUGUCAAUAUAUUUCAAUAUUAUUAUUAAAUAAUUAGAAACAUAAAAAGAAAAAAGACGUGGUUUGGUUUCAUUUCCCACAGACAAAAUAAUAGCAAAACAUGUCAACUCCACAUACUUGCUUAGCUCAAAAAGGAUAUAACAGUGCUGAUAAUUAAGUGGGAUAAUGAUAUUAAACCAAACACAUAAGAAAGUGAUUAGAUCAGAUGAACAAUGCCUGUAAGAAAGUCCAAACCGUCUAGUCCAAAUUAGUGUAUCUUAAUUUUCAUCAUUGAUUAAUCUCUUUAAAGUUUCAAUCAAAAUAAUAAUUAUUAAAAGUGAUAGGUACACAUGCAUGCCAAUUAAACAAGCCAAUAUGAACUACUUACCUUUGAUGAUGUAUCCGCCGGAGCCAUUAUUAAGAGUUUAAUAAGAAUUUGACUUAUAUUAUAUGUACCGACAACGUAUAAUUUUUGCCUAAAAAUACAUAAAUAUUUCGAUACACUCAAUCAACUAUACAAAUAGUCAAAGAGAUAUUUUUAUGUAUCUUUUAUUAUUUUCCUCUUUCUCCUUUGAGCUGUCACACAAGCCCUAGUUUCUUCUCCUUCAUCCACCAAAGAAUGGUGACUUAGGGUCAAUUUUUGACCCAAAAUCACCUCUCUGACUCAUUUUUCUAUUUUCCUUUUAUUGAAAUAAGUAAUUUCACAUCUAUUUUGUUUUUUAUUUUGUGAUUUCGUCGUCUUCGUGCGACGUUGGUUGUUCGUUGUCUUUGUGCGACGUUGUUUGUUUUUCUUGUUUCUCUCAGGUAUUUGAUCACUUCAGAUUGUCAGAUCAGCUUCGAUCCAGUGCAGAUCCAAUCAAUGACUUUGGCGUCAUCCACGUUGCAGAUCCGGAAACAUGGUUAUUCCAGAGAUUUAAAUAUAGUCAUAUGUGUAGGCAUUUGUACUUUGCCGUUUUAUGCUAUUAACAUGGAUGUUGUGAACCUGUUCACAGAUUCAUCCUUUUUGCUUUUAGCGAAUUUGCAUUAUAUCGAUGUACUCUUACAAUUGAAUGAAUGAAUGAAUAUCUUUUAUUUUGUCAAAAAAAAAUAAAAUUGUCAAAGAGAUUUAUAAGAGAGUAUAUAUGUAACAAUUUUUUAGCGUAAAAUAGGUAUCAUUUGUUUCAUUUAUAAGGCUAGAUUCGAACUCAUAACAGCGGGUUAAGUUGAAAGUGAUUUCUUAUCUUUCAUCCUAAUGUUCAUGGAUAAUAUUCGUAAAAAACUGAAUCAUUUAAGAUAAUUUUUCUAGAAUUUUUUUAAUAGUCAAACUUGUAUGUAAGAUUCGAGUCUUGCGUAUGUAGUUCGGUUGGUGUGUUAAAAGACAUUGAACGAGUUUAAAUAAGGAGGUCCCCAACUGAAUCACCAAAAAUGUAAUACUUGAGAGAAUCUUCAACUUCAUCGGCAAUUUACAAUAUAACUUAUAUAUAACUUACCAAUGAACUUUUUUUACUAAAUUAAACUUUUAGUGGGAUUAAUUAAUUGUGAUUGUUUAUACAUUUUAAAUUGAUCAGAAUCUAAGAAAAAUGAUUAAAAUGAGAAAUUGGUAUUAGUAAUUUCUUCAAAAUUUUGAUUUUAGUUAUUGUGACAGAUGAAUUAAAUUUUUAGAGUUUGUUUGGUUUUAUUUAUUUUUGGUGAAAUAAUCAUUUUCAUAAAUUUUCGCCCGUUUGUUAUAUAUAUAUAUAUAUAUAUUUAAAAGAAGAAUCUGAACAAAAGAAAAAAAAUUACUUCAAAUAAGAAGUUUUUUUUUAGGGAAAAUAAGAAGUUGUUUAAAACUUUAAAUAGCUUGUUAAAAAAAUCAUUUUUUUCAUAACUGAACUUUUUUAGGAAAAAAGUAGAUUUUCGCUAUGCUAGAGAAUAAAACAACUUCUCUCUCUUUCUUUUAAAUAAAAAUUAUUCUCUAAAUUAUUGAUUCUCAAUUUAGUUUUUUACAAUCCGUAAGAAAUAAAAGGGUCUUUUAAUCUCAAAUAAACAAAACUAUAAUUGAUUGAUGGUAUAAAAUAUUUUCAUUUUGCAACUGCAUUAAAAUCAUAAAGUUGAGAGGUACAUGCGUACAAUUAGAUCAGAUAGAUAUAGUUGGACGAUGGCGGAAGUUGUUAGAUGAGCAAAUUGCACAGUUGAUGGACUGGUAUACAGUAUACAGUAUAUGGUAUGAACCCUACCAAUUUGGAAGAAGAAAAAAGUGUCCAAAACCCCAACUAUCAACUACAACAAGCAAAUUGCGUCCCUAUCUAUCUAUAUAUCUAAAGUCUUGUUAGUGGAUGUGAAUACCAAUUAAUUAAUACUACCAUAAUUCAAUUCGUAUCACUAAUUUCAAUGUAUUGUCUCGAUAAAUAUUGAUUCAAUUGGUAAUAAGUUUAAAUAUCUCCGACAAGAAAAUGAUUUAAACUAUUAUGACUGACGUGAAGAUAUCUUCAGCGGUUGAUUUGUAAGUAUCUCCGCAAGUGUUUUGAGUUUUAAAAGUUGUCUUAAUUCUAUUGAGUCUUUAGGAUACAACUCGUCUAAAAAAAUAUAAACAAAUUCAAGGUCUUACAAAAUCGUAGCAAUAGCAAAAGUGAUUUUUAUAAGAGAAUUGUUGUUCCCACAUUUGGUUUGGCUAUGUCACACGAGUAAAUUACUCAAAUGUCCCUCGGCAGUAAACUACCGAGGAAAACUGAAAACUUCGGCAGUUAACUGCCAGAGGAAACCUCAAAUCUGUUUUUUUUUUUUUUUUUUAAUUCUUUAAGAAUAUUCCGCGGUCUUUAUCAUUUUUGAUUGAUUUUUCUUAAUAAUUCGUUUUUAAUUUUAAUGAUUUGCCUUCCUUAUUUAUUUUAAUUGUAUUACUCCUUUAAAUCUUUUUUUUUUGUUAUAACUGCUUUGAUCUUCAACAAUAGUGAAUAUUUUAUUUCCAAAGAACUUUCACGGAAUUUUCUUCUUUUAUUUCCUUUUUACGGAAAUAUUCACAAUUAUUUUAAUUGUAUUACUCAUUUGAUCUUCUUCUUUUUUUGCCUAUUUUAUUUUCAAAGAACUUUCACGAAAUUUUCUUCUUUUAUUUCCUUUUUCUUUGUUUUAGGCUUAACAUUUAAGUCCUCAAAAAACAUUUCAAUAAGUGUAAAAAUUAAGUAUUUGAAUAUUGUUUUGCAAAUUACUUAAAUAAAAAAAAAUCUUUGUACACAAUUAUUUUAAUGUAGAAAAUAUAACAACAUAUUAUACCUUAAAAAAAAAUCGUUGUUUUUUAACGAUUUUUUUAUUGUUAUUUGUAUUUAAGUAAUGUGCAAAACAAUAUUCAAAUGCUUAAUUUUUACACUGAUUUAAAUGUUAUUCUUAUUAAGAUAUAUACACAUAAGUAUAAUAUUGCAAUUGUUUAAAACGUACCAAAAUAAUGAUUGAAACAUUCAAAAUCAAUAAAUAUUAUUAAAGAUAAUUUAUGGUUUUUGUCAAAAAAAAAAAAAAAGGUUUGUUAUUAACGACAGUUUAUGGAUUUUGUCAAAACAGGUUUGAGGUUUCCUCGGCAGUUAACUGCCGAAGUUUUCAGUUUUCCUCGGUAAUUUAUUGCCGAAGUUUUCCUCGGCAGUUAACUGCAGCCGUAUUUCUAAAACUUCGGCAGUUAACUGCCGAGGGGUAUUUGAGUAAUUUACUCGUGUGACACAGCCAAACCAAAAGUGGGAACAACAAUUCUCUUUUUAUAAUAUGUGUGAGUAACGAGUAAAUUUUGGACAAACCCAAGUUACAAUGAGUGUCGGUAUAAGAUUCAACCAUCUAAACCUAGUUUGCUACAAAUAUUUUAAAGAAGAAAAAUGCAAAUUAUUUUUCAAAACAUCUCAAAUCGCUGACAAAGUUAGAAAAAUAAAACAACUAGUUAAAGAAGAGACGAAAGUUUCCAUGAGUAUAACUCGGUUGGUUAGAACAGUGAUUGCAAUAUAUAAAGGCUCAAGUUUGAACUCUGCAUUACCACUUAUUCAUAAUACGUAAAAUUCUAGCUACUUAAAAAAAAAAAUAUUACAUAAUACACAAAACUUAGCUCUCAAAUUUGUGUUAAUUUUACUUAUCAAUAAAGAGGUAAUAAAUUAUUGAAGUGAACAAUUGGGUGUGUUUUCUAUAAAAACACCAAAAAAUUAUUUUCAAAAAUACGCCAAUCUCAACUAAAAUGUCAUCUUCCCUAAAUCAUAAUAAAUUAUGAAGAGUGUUAUGAACACUCUUUCUAACACUUCCUAUUUUAUUAUGUGAAACUCAUGUGGAUCAAACAUUUUAAAAAUUAAUCUCACAUAAAAUGGUAAGAUCCAUAUGAAUUUCAUCAAAUAUAAGAGUAAAUGUGAGCAAGAGUGAAUAGAAUGUUUCUAAUAAAUAAUGGUUCAUUUCAUGUGUCUAUGUCUUGUUGAUUAUUAGGAAAUGGUAGCGUUCCACAUAGCUAAGAAUUAAUGGUUCAAUUCAUGUGUCUAUGUCAUAUUGAUUAAUUGAAAAUGGUAGUGUACCAUGCAACUCAGAAGUCCAAGCUCAAAAUGGACCAGACUCAAUCCUAUUACUCUCUUCGAUCAAUAUUAUAAGAAAAAAUCACUUUAAUGAUAAACUUGGGACAAUCAUUCAAGAGUUAAAUAUGUUCUUAGUCCUUAUAAAAUUACAAACUUUUAAGUUUGGUCCUUGCUUAAUUUUAAUAGGUUUUUUAGUCCCUGUAAAAUUACGAACUCUUAAAUUUUUGAAAGAUUUUUUUUUAGACAAGUUUAGAACACUAUGAAAUGUUUAUUUUCUAAAAUUUAGAAUUUUGUAACAUAAAACAAAUUAAAUAUGGAUUUUUUAAAACGACAAAUGUUAAAGAUAAAAUUAAUAAAAUCUGGAUGUAAAAAUCAAAUUUUGCGACAAUUUUUUACAGAGAAACUUUUAGUAAUAUUCUUAACACGUCCUGCAAAAAAUUGUUCAAAAACUCAAGAGUUUAAGCAUAAAUUAAACAAAUUAGAAUUUAGGAGGAACUAAUUCUGGGUGCACAAUUUUUUUUAGGGACUAAAAGAACUGUUAAAAUUAAAUAAAGACUAAACUUAAAAGGUCCAAUUUUAUAGGGACCAAAAACAUAUUUAACCCAUCAUUCAAUAAACACAAAUAAUUUUUUUUUUUAUUAAUAAUAGUUAUCAGAGAGAGUAUUGUGCAUAAACAAAAAUGCAGAUCACACUCUAGAAUCAUCAACCAGAUCAAAAGUUAUAUCAAUUAGAAAAGAGAAUACAUGAUUUUAAACCGAUCUUUUCACUUUCAAUUAUACGACAAAUGUAUUAUAAACACUUGGUAUACAAAUAAAAUUAAAAGAAAAAAAAAAAGUACACUGGUAUAGUAAUAUAAUAGCACGUGUGCGCGUGUAUGGUCGAUUAUUUUACGCAAGGAAGAUUUAAAGAUUUUCGUGGGACCUAAGGAUGAUGAUAUUGACACAUUCAAUUGACUAAUAGAUAAUGCAAAUCUCAUGCACUUUUCCUCACUGUUAAUGUUAAAUCAAUAAUUUUUAUGUACGCGAAGAAACUAAAGUUCACACACGUUUCAAUCAAAAAAUUUAGUUGUCAAUGGUCAAUAUAUCACAAUUUGUGUUUAGCAACAAAAAAAAAAGUAUUGCUAUAUUUUUAUUUUUGAUGUAAAAGUAUUAGUAGCUUGUUUAUUUAUUGUUUUGAAACAAAGUUUAAUUUUGACAAUGGGGAUACCACAUUAAUUACCACUAAUGAAAUUAAUUAGAAUGGCCCAACUUAGUUUUACGUAUGAACUCGGGCUCUUCAUCGGUCUACAUCAACCAGCCUCAAAAAUUACCGUACGAAACAGUGGGAAAAUAAUCGGAUAAAUUUUGUUUGUAUUGUAUUAAUAUAUGAAUCAAAAUAAUCUAUUCAAUAAUUUACCAUUUACUAAAAAUAAAAAUGAGUGACUUGUUGAGUUGGAGAAAUUGUUGUUUAGUAAUAUAAACAUUUCAUGAAAUAAAUGAUGUAUAUAUGUGCGACUUCUUUUAAGUGUUUAAAGUAAGAAGUUCUAUUUUAAAAAGUGUAAGUCCAAUGAACGUAAAAAUGGUGGGUGCUAGUAGCUCCCCACCCCAACAAAUAGAUAUCAUCCGCAGCUUUAGGAGCUAGUAGGAGCUAGUAAAGCAAGCACUUGAUUCACAAUGACAUUCUGAAUGUUUUUUUUUUUUUUGAUGGAAUGACAUUCUGAAUGUUUUCACUCAAAAUUCUCACAUUAAUGAUAUGAAACCCAUUUAUCCAACCAUAAAUUGAUAUUUUUACCAUUGUCAAUUUUCCUCACCACAUGCCACUGAAAGUCGUUCAAGAACCCUGAGAAAGCUAUCUAUAAUCGAGAAUCAAAAGGUUGAGAAAUGCAAACUAAACUAAAAUAAGAACUUCUCCCAUAUUUUCUAAGAAGCAUUCAACACCAAAGAUCAUCUGAUUUUUGAAUAAAGUUCGAAAGCAUCUUUAUGAGAAAAACCUCAAUCAUAUAUGUUUUUUUUUUAUCCCUAAUUCGCCAUUAAGCUUUUGUUGACAACAUAUAUCCCACUCUAUAAGGUGAGCCUUUCUCCCGUGCUCAGUAUUUCCCCACAUGAAAAUACGUUGGAUUUUCUCGAUCUUAUCAUAAAUAGAUUUGAGAAUCUUCACAUAAAUAGAUUUGGAGGAUGCUUUGAGAUCAUCUUAUAACUUGUGGUUGAACCUAAAACGACCCUACAGAACCGACUUACGAGUGAAGAUUGUCCCUACAUAUAAACACAUGUUUGAAUCAUCUCUUAUUCGAUGUGAGACUCUUCAACAUUCGGAAUUUAUAUAUGGAAAACAAUACAAAAUAAAAUUAAGAUAUUAGAAAACUUAAUAAACCUGAUCAAAUAUGACAAAUUUUUAAGAGGGGGUAUUUAAAAAUGAAUUUUAUGUUAUUAGCCACUAAAUUAAUAAUAAAUAUUUAAAUUUAAUUGACGUUUCGUAAUUAAAAGAAAAUGAAUUAUUUUUUUUUAUAAAUGAUGGCUCAAAGCUAGUAGAUUUUAUAAAAAUAUUUAUUUAUGUUAGAAUGAAAUAUAUAUUUUAAACAAGAUGAUUGUAACUCAAACAUCUUUUAGAGUAUAACUUAUAGUUUAGUCUAAGUUUUUAAUUCUUCACGGAAUUGAAUAUAUAUUUUAACUUAAGAGAAAAGAAGAGUGUAAUUCAAAUUUUUCAUAGGAAAGAGAAGUGUAAUUUAUUUAUUUAUUUAUUUUUAUUUUUUAUAACCUACGUACUUCAAGUAGCGUUUGACCCUAUAAUUUAUAAUGUGACAUUCUUUAUUGAAAUUUUACUUUUACUAUCUAAAUUUAAAAGUUAAACAUCAAUAAAACUAUAUACUUUUAUGUUUAUCAGUUAGUUCAACCAUUAAUUUUAUGAAACACUACAAAUUCAAUCAACUAUCUUAUUAGUAUCAAUUUCCCCCCAAAAUUUACCAAUAUGAAUUAAUUGUUGUUAUAAGCUAAUAAACUAGCUUAUAGUAAAAGUUAGGGGAAUUGAUACUAAUAAGAUAGUCAAAUGAAAAAACAUCGGUUAAUUUUUUUUUUUGUACAUGACUUUCUGCAAAAUCAACAAGUUGAGAAAGAAAUCAAAGCUCUCGGUUCUGGUGCGACACGUGGUUGUUGUUUCUUUUACGAAUUAAAAAAAUCACGGUUUCUCAAUUUUGUUUUUUUAUUGAAAUUGGGUUUCUUGUUCUGCAAUAUGUUGAUUUGGUAAAAAUAAAAUAUCAAUAAUUUUAUUUAUUGAUAGAUAGAUGGAGUAAAAGUAUUUGCUUUAAAAACUCACACACAUAAGUCAAGAAUCCCGAAUUCGAAUUCAGAUCACGACAUUAAAACUUAGCAAUUAUUAACCAGAUAUAUUUGUUUUUAUAAUUUAUUGUGUAGACCUUAAUGACUUAAUCAAACUUUACUGCCAUUUUUUAUUUCCUCUUUUUGUUUCAUAGGGUAUAUAAGUAUAAAUUUUUAUUUUAUUUUAUUUCUUUAAAAAAUAGUAAGGGUCAAGACCCACGUACAAGUAUAUAUGGGGCCGUCCUUGUUUAGAAGAUGCGUACACAUAAAAAAGGUAAUUCAAUGAACACGGUUUACCGAUUAGGAAAAGGCAAAGCUAAUGCAUAUCCAAAAAAUUCUGAAAACUUCAUAAAUCGUUGUCCAAAAAAGAGCUUCGUGAAUCAUUAUUUAAGCAAGUUGUUAGUAUUUAUCCAUUAAUCAAUGGAAAAAAUUGACUAACAAACCCAAUCAAGAAAAAUCCAAAAAGAAGGAAAUAUCUUAGCUGAUUCCAAUCAAACAAAGAGGAAUUUAAAUAUUAUUAUUCGCGUAACGGGGAUUACGCCAACUUCAUUACCACUAAACUAAACUAAUUAACAGCCACUCUUGACUCUUGACUACAUUAUUUCCUCAAAUUGUUUGUAUUUGCCACUGAACACGCAAAUAACGUCCCUUUCCUAAUCCCUCACCACCUAUCACCAUAUUUUUUUUUUACAAUGAGUAAGUAUUAUUCGUAAACAAUUUACAAAAUAGCUAUUUAAAAAUCACACAAGUGAAGAAGGGGAGUUCUCACACUACUACAGUAAAUCAAUAUACUAUCCACCUAUAUAAAACCCACACAUCUCUUCCCCUCUCCACACUUUCAUUUCUCACACAACACAAAAUCUUCAUCCUUUUCCUCCUAAAACCCUUCCAAUAUUCCAACACAAACUAUCAACCUAAUAACAUACAUAUUCAUUUAUGGAUUCACCAAUCACCACCAUCCACCCCUACAUACUCCAAUCCCACAUCCUCUCCCGACUUGACGGCACAUCACUCACCUCCGUCUCCUCCACCGCCACCCACCUUCACAACCUCUGCACAGAACACCACCUAUGGCAAAAAAUCAUCACCUCCACAUGGCCAUCUCUCAAUAACCCCUCCGCCACGUCACUCAUCUCCACCUUCCCAUCCUCUCAUCGCUCCAUCUUCUCCGACUCCUUCCCGUCCAUCCAUUAUUCAUCUUCAUCUUCAGAUACUUCUUCUUCAUCUUCAUUGGCUUUAUCUGCUCCGAAGGAAUUAUUCUCCGCAGUUGAUUUAUAUUACAAGGGCAGACCUGUCUUUUCAAAGCUUCUAAGAACAGAAACACAUAAAGGAUGGUUUCUUUGUUCACCUCUAUGGAUUGAAAUUCUAGAACCAAAUGAAAUUAUUGAAACAAAUAUUAAGUUUGAACAAAACGACGUCGUUGAAUGGUUAGAACAAAAUUUGAGUCUUAGUUGGAUUAUUAUUGAACCGACACGUAAGCGUUCGGUUAACUUGUCAAGCCGGUUACCGGUAACAGUUAGAAGACAUUGGCUUACGGGGGAGUUAGAGGUUUUAUAUGGUACGGUAAUGGGAAUGGUGCAGUGUAUGGUGAAGGUCACGUGCUGUGGGAAAGUUGGGGGUGAGAUGCACGUGACUGGGGUGAGUUUUAGUAUGGAGGAUAUGGAUGGAAGACAUUUGAUUGGGAGGGAUAGUUUGGGGAUUUUGGUUGGGGCUAUGGAGAAGGGUGAGAGGUGGAAAGUGGAUAUUGACAGAGAGAAGAAGAGGUUUGAGGAGUUUUGUGGGAGGAAGAGAGAGAGGAGAGAGAAAAAGUUGAGGAGAGAGAGGGUUAUGGAUAUGAUUAUUAUGGUGGUUGCCAUUGUUGUUUUUGCUUUUCUUUUUCGAUUUGUGAGGUUUUGGGUUUGAUUACACCUUGAUUACAACUUACAAGUAAGUUUACUUUGGGAUUUUUUUACCUUGUACAUGUAGGGGUGGGAAUAGAUAGCGUAAAAUAUUACUACUAAUUAAGGUUGAUAGAGAAAAAAGAGGAAGUGAAAAGUUGUAAUACAAAGGCAACCAACAUAUACAUUAUACAACUAUUAUUAUACAAUAGUACACUAUAAAUGUAUGUAUUGGAAAUUCAAAAGAGAAAUGAUAUUUGAACAUCUAUUUUAUGAUAAUUUUUGUGACAACUUUCUCUUUUAUAUUCAUAUUAUUUUUUACUUUAUCUCUCAAUUGCUUUAGUUUUUGUGUCAAUAAUUACUUUUUCUUUGUAAAUUAUGAUUGUCCCAAAAGUUAUCAAUCAAAUAGUUGUUCAAAUAACACUCCUUAUUUCAAAAUUUGUUGAAUCAUUUCUUCUUUUGAUUGAUAUACUAUGGUUAAGCACAUUAAGAGUAAUGCUGGUAAGAGAGAUAUUGUGUAAGAAUUUACAUGAUUUUAACUUCUGAGUGUGUUUGCUAUAGAUUUUGAAUAUGAAAACACAUGAAAAUGAAUAGUUAUGUGCAGUGGAUUAGUUGUGAAAUCAGAAUUCGAAUUGAUUUGUAACAUUAUUUUUCUAAACCAUCCAAUUUAAGAGAAUGAUGCCCUCAAAUAUGAAGCAUGUACUUUUAAUUUAUGAAAGUUAUUUAAUUUCAGGUAAAGUUUUUGAACAUCUAUCAUGUUUUUGAACCAGGGUAUGAAUUGGAAUAUAGCAAAAUUGAUUCUACUAGUAAUAAUAGACAAAAUUGAUCUAAGAUGGGAAAAUUUUCCAUUGUCCCAUAUACUAAAGCCCGUCGAUGCAAAAAGAUAUUAGUUUAUUCGACGUCACGUUUCUUUAGGCCUAACCAAAUAUUAGUUUAUUUUAGACCUAACCAAAUAUUGAUUUCCCCCAUAGUCAACUUCUUCUUUCUUAAAAUAUACACUUAGUAAACUCUUAUUAACAAAAAAAAGUUCAUAUAUUCGUAAAAAAAAAAUUUAAUAUAAAUGAUUUAAUACUUCAACUAUUUAAAAUAAAUAUAAAUCCCCUAAAAAAAUAUUGAUGUUUUAAUAUAGUUUUUAUUUUAUUUGACUCUAAUUUUUAUUUGUCAGUGAUAACUUAAAAAAUUAUUUUCGGCACGACAUUAGUUUGUGUAGGCCUAAACCAAAUUUUAUUUGGAGUUGAGAUGGAUUGGUGGAGACAUGGUUUAAUGCAUUUGUUGAGAAUUCGUUUUUGCAAUUGGUUAAUAAUCCAAACUUACUGGUGUUUCAUGUUUUCUGGUGUGAGGGUUCGGCUGCUGUUUGUGCAGUGGUUCUGUUUUUGGGGUAGUUAGUUUGGUUAUAUCAAGCUUAGGCUAGUUAUGUUCCUACUGUAUUGGUUGUUGUCUGUUUUAGCAGGAUAGUGAUGUGGUGUAGGCACAUUUCCUUUGUAUAGGUGGGUUUGGCAUGACCUUUGGGUUGGUUUGGCCUCUAGGUGUUCCGCCUUGUUUCGGCGCCUUUGUAUGUUCUCAUAACUACCCCGGUUAUGACAUCCGGCUUAACAACUUAUCGCAACGAAUAUAGUCAUUGUGACAUGUAACGUAAGUCAACAAUAAUUGUCGUUGCAAAACCUUUAGUUUUCACAGCGACAUCAAAUGUCGAUGCAAAACUUUUCGCAACAGAACUUAUGCCAACGACAUGCAACGAUAUUUUUUUCGCUGGGAAAAACACAUUUCGCAGCAACGUUGCAUUUUUCUCAACGACAUAUAUCGCUGUCAAAAACCUUUUUUCUUGUAGUGGUACCACAUUCAUCGUCGUUCUCCAAUCUAUCUUGGAUGAGAUAUUUCAUUCUCUCAACUUUAAGAUUCGAUUGUCCAAAUAUCUUAUAUUUAUAGAGUAGCCAAUAGUUGUGCGGAUCUUCUAGCAAACUUGAUCACAAUGGCUAAUUUAAUUGGACUAUUGUAGAUUCUCAUGCUCUUCUCUUAGUCUGAAGUUACAUUUUGAUGUAUAGCACCUUGAGGCUUAUUACUUAGUUCUUUCCUUCUUCUAUAAGAAAAAUAGAUAAAAAUAGCACCAAUAUAAUGAUUGGGAGAAAGUUGUGGGUUUGUCUUGCUUUUUCCUUUCUUGUUGCUUGGAAAAGUCUGUCUAGUAUAGCCUCCUUUGCUGUAUAAUAAUAAUAGUAAAUAAGAUUGUUUUAGCUGUUGUUGAACUUGUCUGUUUCAAUUAUUUCCCCACAUGAAAAAGGCACUUAAAUGUGGAUGUUUCAUGUUGGUCCUUGAAUUUUCAUAAGAAAUAAUAACACAUUUUUGUUGUGAAUGAUAUAAAUAACACAUCUUUAGCAUCUUGUGAAGGAAACAUAGAACAAAAUCUGGAGUAUCUUGUUUUGCCUUGUUGGCAAUGUUUAAAAUAUGGACGUUUCUCAACAACCUGAACAUGUGGAUGAUGAGAGAUUGACGAAUGUGGCCACUAGAACUUCGAUAAUUUAUCUUUUUUUUUUUUUUUUUUUUUUUUUUUAAGGAAUCAUUCAAGUAUUCUAUAACUUCUAUUCUUAACAUCAAUUUUCUUAUCUUAUCAAAAUAAUAAUGCCACCAAGCACUAAGGUCAAAACGUUCCAUUAUAUAAUUAAGUGAACUUUUAAUCAAAGUAUUUGUAAAAGUUCAAUCUAUUAUCACUGUUGAAUCAUGAAGACUGUUUGAUUUUAUUCAAUAACAUGAAAGAUGAGUGUUAAGGAUACAUGUUUAAUACAUAUUUUUAAAUACACUCUUAGGUUAUUGGUUAAAAUUCACAUGUGUCUUAUCAAAUUUAUGAAGAUCUACAUGAUUUAACGAGAUCUUUGUAAAUUUUAACUAAUAAAAGAGAUCAUGUUAAAAAAUGUGUGUUGAAAGCAUUAUUUAACAUGGAAUAUUCAUACAUUGACUUACGAGAUGAAUUACUUAAAAAUGUUCUAAAAAGAUAUAUCAAUUGUGAAUGGUCUUAACAUACAUGAGAUAAGAGAACAUGAAGAUAGAAGUUGACUUUGCCGUCAAAAAAAGAAGAAGAUAGAAGUUGACUUGUGUAUUCAGAAACAAUUUUCGUUAACAAGUCAUAAAACAAACUCUUUCGUUAACAAUAUAUGCAUGUUGUUUUGAAUGGUUAUACUUAGUUUCAAUUUAGAUUUUUUUUUUUCCUUUCUAUAUAAUCUUAUGAACAAUUAUUAGUGAUUUUGCACUUUAAAAAUGCUAGAUUUAUAUUAUUCUUAUUCUUAUUAUUUUAUAAACAAAGAGAAAUUUUAUUAUAUAAGAGAUAUUCCAUUCCAUAUCAAUGUUCAAAGUGCAUACAUCAAUUUAUUUUGAAGUUCAAAGUAACAACCAGAUGGACAUUUUAAAGGACAAUUAAAUCAACCAGAAUACACUAAAUCAGAUUCCCUACCAGCUCUAUCAACAAACCACCCCAUGGCACCAUUUUGAUUUGAGAUAUGAUUAUCGAAUUAUAAUUCGCAACCCCGUCUUGAAAAAUAACUUUGUUCUGAGCCAUAAGCACCAAACGAUGGUUACCUAAAUAAGAACAGGAGUUCUCUUCAAACACUUGCCCAGGACCAAGUUCCAUGCAUAACGAGAUGUCAAACACCUUCGUUAUGGUUUACACCUUGAACACGGAUUCAUUUAUUUAUGGUGGGCAAUACAUUAUGCGAGAAAGGAUUAGAUCAAGGCCAGUCUAACAUAAUAAAAGGUCUAAAGCAAAAAUUUUAAUGUGGAUUUUAAAAGUAUUUUUUUAAUAGAAUAUUAAUUUUUUCUUUUUUUGGGUCAGGUAGCCUAAUGGCUAGAAUUCACCUGGUGAAUAAGUGGGGUGUCCGGGGUUCGAACCCCGACCCCUACAUAUAAUAAUGCAUUGUCCUACCAACUGAGCUACGCUCACGGGACAACAUAAUAUUUAUAUAAAAUCAAUUUUGUGGAGACCAAAAUUUGAAUUCAUGACAAGAGUAAUAAAGGCCGUUUUGAUAAUUAGUUAAGUUAUGCAAAUAUCUGUAAUUUAUUGUCAUAUAAUAUAAUUAUAACCCAAUUAAUUUUUUAGGGGAAUUUUUUCCAUCCAAAAUUUUGAGGCUUAAAGCACUUGCUUGGGUUGCUUGGCCCUAGACUAGAUAAGAAGAUAUAGUUACUAAACUGAAUAUCAGUUUAGCAAAAAACACAAGAUAUGUCAUGAAUGGGCAGACAUUGCUCCCUUGUAGCCAAAACCUCUAGAUGAGAUCGGGAAAUGAAUAAAAGGAGUGGUGGCGGGGUCUCCAUGCCAUGCAUCAGCCAUGAGACACUGUCGUUUAGUUUUCUUUCUGACCAUUGGAUUUGUUAAACAUCAAAAUCCAGUGAUGACUUCCUCAAUGUUGAGCUUGCUUGCAUGGGCCCUACCUCGUGCCCUUCUGGAUAAAUGAUUAAUUGGAAUUUUGGAUGUAGUACACUACAAUGUUUUUAAGGUAAACUCUUUAGUAAUGAAAAGAAUUUUAUCAGCUUAUAAGGGUAAAUAUUGGUCGUCAUUGUAUUCAUAUUGUGGUCACUAAUAAAUUCUUUUUCAUCAUCAAAUAGUAUACCAAAUGUAUGACAUGGUAAAAGAAUGAAAUCAUAAUUUUUAUCAAGUACGAAUCAAACACAUAAUAUAAUUUAUAUCAUAAUAUGCCUAUUCUAUCUGCACACCAAACAAGCUUUAGUGUUUAGUUCAACAUUUUAAAUAAUUUUUUCUCAGUUCAAUAGGACACUUUACUAAUUGAUGACUCGUUGACACACUUGGAUGGAUUAUGUUAAUAUGUUUUUCUGCAAGAUGCAUGUUAAUAGAAUCUGUCUUAUAAUUAUCAAAUCACUAUCAUCAAACCACCAUUAUUGAACAUUCAAUGUAUCAAUUAGUGUAUAUCUUGACUAUGCUCCAAUGAGAAGAAUUAUUUGAAUUACAAUUAACUUUCUUUCAUGACAUUAUUAGAAUAUUUGUUUUUUUCUUCAUGACACCUAUUGAGCAAAUCAUUGACAUUUUAAUAGGAGAAAUAGUACUAUAGUAUAUCACUUUUUCUAACUUCUAACUAACCAAAUGGCCAUUGAAUAGUGACCACUUUUCUUCAUAUCUUCUUCUCAUUCUUCUUUCACUUUCAUAAUUCUCUGAUCCCUUUUCCUUUCCCUCUCAAUCAACUUAAAGCUUCAAUUUAUUGCUAACCCUUAACGUAUCUUCCAAUAUAUGUUGACAUAUUCCCACUUUUUUGGUCCUCAAAUCCCUUUACACAUUCAAAUAACGCUAUUCUAGGACCAAAAAGAACAAGUAUACAUGAUCUUUCACAACCCACUUUACACUAACUUCAAUGCUAAUAGUUCCUUCUUACCAAAACAUUGGAAAAAGCCCAUGAUGAUGACCUCAACUUGAACUCACUCAAACAUUCCUCCCAUAAAACUUUUGCAUCCAAACCAAACACCUUCCUAACCUCAUGUUUUUAAAUUGCAGUUGCGAUCGCGUCACAAUUCUAGAUAUUGCGAUCAAAUAUUAUAUCGCUGGCCAAGAUCGCAAUCGCGGACCUUUUUUCCCAUUAGAAUCAUCACUAUUUACAUAUGAUGCAAUAAAUCUUACAAAUUUGAGAUAUUUGCUCACUGAUUUUUUGUUUCACAAUUUCCAUUAUGUCCUCGUGUCAGACAAAACAUCUUAAACAGAAACAUAACAAGAUCAGAAAACGAGGUUGUUCCUCCACUUCUUCUUCAUCACCCUUUUCAAGAAGAUAUAGAUUUAAGAGAGCCAUUUUGAUGGGAAAGAAAAGUGGGUACAAUACACCAGCACCUAUGUGGAAAACAAGCUCAAAGUCACCUUCUAUGGCAACUCAUCAUCACCAUGCUAUGAAAAAGACAGCUUUGCAUUCUUCACGUACUGGAUUACCCUUCAAAGAGAAGAAAGAAAUUUCUGUGUCUGCUAGAAAACUUGCUGCUACACUUUGGGAAAUCAAUGAUUUAACUCCUUCAAGGAUCAAGAAGGAAUCAAUGAAAAGCAAUAAGGAAAGAGACAAAGUUGAGAGGUUAUGUAGAUCAGUGUUGUUGGGACCACAAAAGUUAGAUCCAUUGGUUAGUCCUUUCUCAGAGGUAAAUUACUAAAUUCAUAUAGAAGUUUUGUAGAUUUUAUUGUUUUCAAAUGUGAAUUGUGAAUAAACUUAAUUAGUCCAAUGGUGAAAUGAAAUCUUUUUUUUUUUUUUUUUACAAAUAUGAUUAAGGUAAAGCAGAGAACAAAAGGUAUUGAAGUUGAUGGCUGCAAAAGAAAUGUGUCAGAUUUAUCUCAUCAAUUUCACUUUGUUGAUCCCUACUUUAGAGGCAUGGAUGCUGGUUGCAAUGCUGAUUUAAUAGAGGUAAGUUUUGUAAUGAAUCUAAGUAACCAAUUAGAAAUGUGGUACAAUAUUUCAUUAUGCUUGAUCAUCAUUUACUAUACCAUUUUUUUAUUAGAUUAACUAAUGAUGAACAUGAUGAUAUGUUACAAUAAUACAAAUAGACACAUAAAUUGGCUGCGAAAUUUUUAAAAUUUGUUCACUUUGAUGGUCACGCACUUUUUAGUUGACGGUAAUACAAUAGAAUCACGUUGAACUACUAUGAUUGACAAAAGCUACAAUUUAGAGCUUCAACAAAAUCACGGCGUGUCAACGUGUUUUUUUUUGCUAAAUUCCCCAAUCCAAACAUACACUUAACAUAUUAUUAUAUAUAAAACUUAAUUAUAUUAGUUUUGUCAAAGAAAAAAGUUAGUUAUAUUAGUUUGUUACACAAGUUAGUUGUUCUUCUUAUUGACCAUAUAAACCUUAUGUAUGCAUUAAUGCAGUUCAUUCUCUCUUUAUCAAUAUAAUUUCCAUUUUACUUCUAUCAAGAAUAAUAAUACAUAUUAUAUUAUGAUUUCAUCUAUACUUAUUUAUUUUGGUCACGGUUGAGAAGGAUCAAGUUAAACUAUGUUGAAAUGCAGAAGGUUAGCAAUAAGCCAAAACACAAGAAGAAUUGUGGUAAAUGUAAGGUUGGAGUCAAGAACCGUCUUAAGGAAGCUAAAAGCAGUAUAUCUACAUCGAAGAAGCUUCUAAAGGUGUUAAGUCAAAUUGUUGUUGAAGAGAAGCAUUCGUUGAGAAGCAUGCCCCUCAUCUUGGCUAUGAGUAACGAGCUUGAUCGUGCCUGCAACCAAAUCGAUCAAUUCAUUCAAGAACAAAGCUCCAACCAGAACAAUAUCGAGUAUCUCAUGAAGCAUUUUGAAGAAGAAAAGAUUGCUUGGAAAAGAAAAGAAAGUGAGAAGAUUCGCGAGGUGAAAAUGAGCAUAGUGCAAGAGCUUGAAUUUGAGAAGAAGAUAAGGAGGCAAACUGAGAGACUGAACAUGAAGAUUUCCAAAGAAAUGGAGAACAUAAAAGAUUCCUAUUCAAAACUCUCUAAGGAACACGAAAUGGAGAAAAGGGCUAAAGAGAUUUUGGAGCAAGUUUGUGAUGAAUUAGCCAAAGGCGUUGGAGAAGAUAGAGCACAAGUAGAGGAACUGAAAAGGGAAUCGGAGAAAGUUCGAGAAGAAGUUGAAAAGGAGAGAGAAAUGCUUCAGUUAGCCGACAUUUUGCGCGAAGAACGAGUCCAUAUGAAGCUCUCAGAAGCCAAAUAUCAAUUUGAAGAGAAAAGUGCAAUGCUAGAAAUUCUAAGAAAUGAGCUUGAGAACUUUAUAAGAAAUAAAGAAGAAGAGAAAGGUGAUGAUAUUGAUGUUAAUCCAGGGCUUAAGAAACUCAAGGAUCUUGAAUUCUAUUUGAACAAAACAUUUUUGGAAUUCCAAAAUCUAGAUGAAGAUAAUAAUUCAAUUGAGCAUGAAGAUGAGUCAGUUGAGAGUGAUCUUCAAUCAAUUGAAUUGAAUAUGGACAAUGACAAAAAAAGCUACAAGUGGAGUUCUUCUUGUGAGAAUAUUCCACUUUUUGAGGCAAAAAGAGUUUCAAUUGAUAAAGAUAUAGGGAGAAGAUCUUUUAAAGAUUGGGGAAGUAUUUGCUUCAACAAGGGAACUACAAAUAGUACUAAAAAGAAGGACUUUGUUGGUAUAAAUAUUCAAGAAAGUUUUGAUCAGCUUGAAAGUGGACAAUCAAUUGAAUUUAUUUUUGGAGAUGAAAUACAAGAAGAAAAUGAGGGUUAUACCUAUAAGCCUAUGAGUCUAAGAGACCAUAUAUCAUUUCCAGAUUUUGAUAAAGAAAGUGGUAAACUUUUGAGUUUGAGGUACAUUGAUGGGGAAGCUGAGGAGAAUGCCCUGGCUUUGGAGGGACAUGAUAUGAAGAAAGAUUAUGCACGAAGAAAAUGAAAGGAUAAUUUUUUUUAGGGUUAACCGUGCUUUACCCCUCUGUGUAAUAUAGGUAAUUUCGAGUUUUCCCUCCUGUAAAAUUUUCUUUUUGGAUUCCGUCCUUGUAAUUUGAAGUUUUUUGGUUUUGGACCUUCAUGAAUUUUGACUGUACAAAAUUGAUGAUAUGACAGUGGGGUAAACCGAAAUUUGCUCAAAUUAAUAGGGUGUAAACCGAAAUUUGCUCAAAUUGCAGGGGGGUAAACUGAAAUUUCCUCAAAUUACAGGGGGAAAUUUUUUUCAUGAAGGUCUAAAACCAAAAAAUCUUCAAAUUACAAGGACUGAAUCCAAAAAAAAUAUUUUACAUGGAAAAAACCGAAAAUGACCUAUAUUACAGGGGGUAAAACACUAUUAACCCUUUUUUUUUAUUUUUUAUAGGCUAGCGUUAGUAUCAUAUUGAAAGGUUAUUCAAUUUCUGUUCUUAUGUUACUAUUUAUUUUUCAUGGAGAGUUUAUUUUUUGACAAAUUCAUGGAGAGUUUAUAUUCAGCACAAAGUUUAGACAAACAUAUUCUCAAAAUUUACCUAAAGUUGUGUUAAACUAAAUCAAACCUAAACUAUUUUCAUUCAUAUAUUAGGACGUCAACAAAUGCAUCAAUAAAAAAACUCAAAACAAAAUUUGUUUAAUAUUGAUUGAUUGAAUUACCUGUCUCUGUCGUUACUCUCAUCCAACAAAAACAUAAUUUGUAAUUGAUUAAUCGAAAAACAGUUAUAUUGAUUGAAUCAUGUACAUCUCCAUUGAAUUCUCACAACACAAUCUCACUUUUUUACCCUUCAUUGUUUUCCAAGAUACAUAUAUUUGAAGUAUCUUCUAAGUAUUUGUGGGUAUCUGUCGAAUAUCCUAUAAAUAUCUGAUAAAAUAUAUUUUUUAAAUUAAAAUAUAUUUUAAUUAAAAAUAUCCUAUAAAUUUUGAUACUCCGUAGGUAUAUAUCUACGGAGUAUCGGUAUCCAAUACAUAUUUAAUAUGGAUACGUCUUCGUAUUUAGAGUAUUCGAGCUUCAUAGAUAACAGGUCAGGUAACAUUAUCUAUAUUAUUUUCUAAUCAAAUUUUAACUGGUAAUUGGAGAUGGAAAUUUGGGUGCUUAAUAUAUAUAUAUAUAUAUAUAUAUAUAUAUAUAUAUAUAUAUAUAUAAGUUCAAAUCUUCCAAUCCUUCUUCCUUAUUUAUUCGUUUCAACGUUAACGUAUGAUGCAAGUAAACAAAGACUAAACUUCGGGCAUUAUUUUUCUUUUAGUUAGCUUUGUGCUUUAAUAAAGCUACUUUUCUUGCCAGUUGCCACCAACAAGUCUGUAUCAACAAACAGUGAACGAUGUAAACGUAUGGAACUCUGACAUGUUCGCAUGGUCGCAUAAUUGUAUCGAGUUAAUCUCAUUUGGAUUCUUUGAAUCAUGUAUUAGAUGAGAUGUGAAUCAUGUGAUCUCAAAAAAGAUUUAACAAGUUAUCUCACUUAUAAACCAUUUUUGUAAAGUUAACUUCAACUUAACUUAAAUUCUAAGACCAUUUACAAUGGCAAAAUAUAUUCAACAACCCUUAACACCCACUUUUUCAAUUCCCAACACUCCACAUUAUUUUCUCUCUCUUAAUUUAACACCCAUUUAAUUUUUACCUCUCCAAUGAUUUUUUCAUUCAACACCUUAUCCCACCAUAUUUUAUUUUUUAUUCUUAUUUAAUUUUAUAUUUUUGUUUUUAUAAUUACAUAAAAUUACAAUUAUCGAUUAUAAUUAAAUUAAAAUGAAGAAACACUUAACAAUUUUUUUUUUGUAAAAACGAAAUUUAUUUAAAUAAUUUUUUUUUAUUUUCUUAACAUAAAUAAAAUGCAAUACAACAAACUAAAUAAACACUAAAACUUCAAAAGAAAGGCUAAUACAAAGCUAAUAAUAAGAUUAAGAGAGUGAAAAACUUGAUUUUUUUUUUCUGUGUCCAAAUCAAAUGAUCCAAGUCUCUAUUUAUAGAGAAAAAAAAAAUACGAAUUUUGGUAAAAAAAAAUAAAAUUAUUUGCAAUGAAAUAAUUGGGUCCAAAUUAUUAAGAAGAUAAAAAUCCGAGCAGCCAAUCAGCGCGCGCCAAGUGUCUCCGUGGGCCAGGCAUUCAACAUGUUGAAUUGUUUCAACACUUCCCUCCUCCAACUCACUUUUUUCCCAUUUCAACACCCCCCACCUACAAUGGUUCAACAAGGGUUCAACAUGUUGAAUGGCAAAUUCAACAUGCCAUUGUAAAUGGUCUAAGAAAAAUUGUAUGUAAUUUACUAUGGUAAAAAAAAUCAACAUGUGCUUACAUACUGAUUUGAUGAUUAAGAAAUAGACAUUGAGAACAGUCAUACAUAAAUGUAUAGAAAAUUGCACACAAAUGAAAGACAAACUGCGCCAGUAACUCUUUUUCAUUUGCUAAAAACUGGGGAUUAAACUAAACAAUUUUUUUUACACUAUUUGAUUUAAAAUUUGGUCACGGGACUGCACAAAACAGGUAACAAGGAAUUGGACCUCUACAAUAAUUCUUCUCUCCAACCCAUUGGAGUUGAUGGUGUUGGCUUGAAACAUUAUAAUAUGCUAAACUUAAGAUCUUAAGUUUAAUUCUCACGAUGUCUAUUUCGGUAAAUUAACUUGGUUUUUUUAAAAAAAAAAACCUGUCCCCUGCCCAACCAUGAGACAACUUUGUACACACUAUCAAGAAUACAAAAACUCUAAACCCUUUGUCUUUUUUUUUUUUUUUUUUUUUUUUUCAUAUCAUGUACUUUGUAUAAUAUAUAUUGUUUUGCAAAUCAAAUGCUUCCUAUCCAUUUUUUUCUUUUCAAUUUGACAAGUCUAUGAUACGUACCGAAACACUUAUGUUCCGAACAAGACUAAGACCCAAUCUAGAUUGGACUUAGACGAGAACAUAAUUCAAGACCAUGCUCACCAUUCAAAAAAAUUUUUAUAGUUUAUAAACACUAGCGAUUCACAUCACACGAUGAUCCGUAGAUUGGGUUAAGAUCCUCUCAAUUUAUAAUCUUAUUUAUUUCUUCCAUUUGGAAAGAGAUACACGCAAGAAUGUCUGGAAAAAUUAUAAAACAAUUAAGGCAAAUGCUAACUUGUGCCCUCAAGGGCACAUGUUAAUAAACUUAGGGAAACGUUGACAUGUAUCAAAAGUCGUGCAUUCAACUUCUUAAAAGUUGACAUGUUAUGUUUUCCAAUGCAAAGCUGCUCUUUUUAAGUUGCUUAACAUGUACCCUAAGGACACAAGUUAACAUGAUUCAACAAUUAAUGGUGGUGAGUAUAAGUAUGAGAGAAAAUUGUCAUAAAAUUGUUAUAUAAAUAUCAUUUCUCUUUAUUCUAUCCACUACUACAAUAAUUUUAAAGUGUUUUGGCGUGUUUAAAAAAGAUUUGGAUACAUUUAAUGCCACACUUUUACAUUUAUAUUUUAAAAGCUGGUAAUGAAGAACAUGAAGAUAAUAAGAAACGAGAAUGCUAUCAUGAUCGCUUGUCACACAUAUUAAUGUCACAAAGAUGAAAAUUAUGUAUUGAAAGGUACAUCAAUUUAUUUUUUUAAACUUUAGAUGAAAAAAAUUCCCAACAAAUACUUACUAUUUGUCGAAAACUUAUCGUAUACUCUUAAAACACAAGUUAGGAUUAUCUAUAAAAAAAAUUAUGGUAUAAACAAAAAAAAAUGAAUUUAUUGAUUGGUGAAUUAUUUAAGGGUUAAUAGUGCUUUUCACCCCUGUAAUAUAGGUCAUUUCCGGUUUUCGCCCCUGUAAAAUUUUCGGUUUGAUUUACAUCCUUGUAAAACUUUUUUUUUCUAGAAAACAUUAUUCCCCCAUCCAACUCAGCAAAUUCGCUUACGUGGCGCUGAUUUGACAUUUUUUUUCAUUUUUUAUUAUUUUUAAUUAGCCACGUGCAAAUAAAUAUUUACACAUCAGAUUUUAUUUUUAAAAUAUUUGAAAAUAAAUUUUAAAAAAUAAAAAAAUCAUAAAAAGAUUCAGUUUUUUUUCCAAAAAUUUAAAAAAUCGAAAAAUAAUUUUAAAAAAAUUCAGAAAAAAUAUUAAGAUUUUUUCCGAAAUAUAAAAAAAACAGAUAUGACUAUUUUUCCGAAAUAUAAAAAACAGAUUUUUUUAUUUUCUGAUUUUUUAAAUUUUUGAAAAAAAAUUCUAAUUUUCUUUUCGAUUUUUAAAUUUUUUGGAAACAAAUAUGACUAUUUUUCUGUUUUUUAUAUUUCGUAAAAAAUCUUAAUAUUAUUUUGUUGAAUUUUUUAAAAAUUAUUUUUCAAUUUUUGGAAAAAAAAACUGAAUAUUUUAUGAUUUUUUGGAUUUUUUUAUUUUUUAAAAUUUAUUUUCAAAUAUUUUAAAAAUAAAAUCUGAUGUGGAUAUAUUUUUUACAUGUGGGCAAUUAAAAAAAUGGCAAAUUAGUGCCACGUAAGCGAAUUUGCUGAGUUAGAUGUGGGAGGAGUUUUUUCUAAAAAAAAAAAGUUUUACAAGGAUGCAAAUCAAAUAAAAAAUUUUAGAAGGACGAAAACCGAAAUCUAUAUUACAAGGUGAAAAGAAGUAACCCAUUAUUUAAUAGAUGUCCAUUUAUUUAUUAGAAGAAGUAGGAAUAUGUGAGUAGUACUGACUAUAGAUGAAGUCAAUGUCUGACAUGAUUAAUAAAAGAAAGAAAGAUAAGAAAAACCUGAAGAAAGAAACGGUGGUAGAAAGCAGUAUUGCACGUGGGUGGUGACACAUUGACAACACAGAAAAUAGAACCGCACCAUUCCUCUUCUUUGUCUUUACUCAUUCUUUGCCGACCCUUCCCAUACCCCCACUUGCCUUACCUUGCCACCCUUAACCAAGCAAGCAAAGAACAAUCACAAUCAACCUUUGCAACAGGUUUUGUAUAUACUACUAACUUAAACCUUAAUUAAACCCUAGCUAACUAGCUCCUUUAUUAUUAUAUUAUUAUUAUUAUUAUUAUUAUUUGUGUGUUGAGGAGGAAAAAAUAUAGGAAGAUGGAGAUUGUUGUUUCAAAGGAAGCUCAGAUGUCUAUUGCUGCUUCAUCUAUGUUUCCUGGUUUUAGAUUCUGUCCUACUGAUGAAGAGUUGAUUUCUUAUUACCUUAGAAAAAAAUUAGAUGGUCAUGAAGAAAGUGUUCAAGUUAUUUCUGAGGUUGAGCUUUGUAAAUAUGAACCUUGGGAUUUACCAGGCAGGUGUCUCUUUCUUUUCUAUGUAUUUUUGUUUUUAAUUUUAAAUAUUUGGAACUUAUUUUUUUAUUUUUUGCUUUCAAUUUCAUGUGUUGUGUGUCGUUGGUUCUUAAAUACUUGGAAUAGUUUAUUUGGAAGGUGUUGGAUUGUGAAUUAUUGGGUUGAUUUGCUUAGCUGGAAUUGUUGGUAUGUGACAUGAGAGUUUAUUCAAUUCAAUUACACAUCAUUUUAAUCACGCUUUUGGAAAUUGAAACCCUAGCCCGUGUUGGUAUCACGGUGUGAUACCAUAAUCACGUCGUUGUGAUUAUGACAUAUCCACCUUGAUACCAUACCAAGUUUCAACAUAUGAAAAAUGAAACCACGUGUUUUGAGCAUUGAAAAUGUUAUUUGGUUCCACACCCAAAAUAUGUACGUUGGUGGAACCUGGGGUGAUUCUUAUUUCUAUGUUGUGUGUGAACAAAUAAAUCACUAUAUAAGUGUACAAACAGAGGACUUUCUUGGAUACUUGCAUCUAAUUACUGCAUUGUAUGAAUUUAAUGUAGGGUCCAUUUAUGCCUCUCAUUAUUAUGUUGACCCCCCAUGGAAAACCUACACAUAUGUGCCUGAGUAGUUUCCUUAUCACUAAAUCCCCUCACCCUAAAUGCGUUGACACCAACACAUUGACAUAGACACGAUAGUCAUACAUUGACACCGGUAAUAAUUUGAGAAAUGUUGUUUAGAAGAUAAACACAAUUUAAAAUUGCUAUGCAUGUUUGAAGUUUAAAUUUAUCCAAUUAACUCAGCAGAAAAUUUGUAAGCUGACUAAAUAAUACUUGUUUCAAACCAGCCAAAUCAUUCAUUCAAUCAGAUAACGAGUGGUUCUUCUUCUCUCCUCGUGGAAGAAAGUAUCCAAAUGGUUCACAAAGUAAAAGAGCUACCGAUUGUGGCUAUUGGAAAGCCACUGGAAAAGAGCGCAACGUGAAAUCGGGUUCUAACGUCAUAGGUACGAAGCGAACUUUGGUGUUUCACUUAGGCCGUGCCCCUAAAGGAGAAAGGACAGAAUGGAUUAUGCACGAGUACUGUGUCAGUGACAGGUCUCCGGUGGGUAAUAAUCUGAAUGUAUCCUUCCUCUCCCUAAGGAUGUUAAAAUGCAAUAGUGAUUCAUAACUUCUAUGUUUUUUGUUUGUUAUGCAUGUUUCAGGAUUCUUUGGUUGUUUGUCGUCUCAAGAGGAACACGGAGUUUCGUGUUAACGAUGCUUCAAAUAGAGCUUCUUCAAGUCAAAUAAAUCCUGUACAUUCACAUGAAAGUGAUUGUGCUGGUCAAAUAAACCCAGUAAAUUCACAUGAAAGUAAUUGUGCUAUCUCAGAAGGCGGUACUGAUCAUAGAGAAAGGGGUAUCUGUGAACAAGAAAAGGAGGUUGAUGGUAGUUCGAAACGGGGAAGCAGCAGUUAUGGUUCAGCUUCAAUGGAACAAAUUGAUUCUAUGUCUGAAUCAAAUCAGCGACCAGCUAAUGACGGUUUUUUGACAGACUCUUCGGGCCAGCUAAAGGUAUAAAAUUGAUUUUGAAGUUUGAAUGUUAACAGAAAGAAACUUUUGUAACAGGAGAAUGAGCACAUUACAUGUAUAUUAUCAGAUUCAGCUUUUUGCAUCGGAUAAAAUUGAGCAUUUAAUCUUACUUACACCUUUGUGAUGUAGAUGGAUGAAGAGGAUUGUUAUGCUGAGAUAUUAAGGAAUGAUAUCAUAAAAUUAGAUGAAUCAUCAAUGUCUCAAGGAGCUCAAACAAGACCAAAUAACCUUGCACAUUCUCAUCCAUGCCAAGGCACUGCACAACGGAGAAUACGAUUAAGGGUUCCGAAAUCAACGCAUUCUCAACCAGGAGCUCGUUUCUCAAAAACAAUGCACCAGUCCAAGAGUAGCUUCAUUGCCAGAAUGACGAACCGUUUGAUGAUAUUUGCUUUCUUCGUUUUCACUCUCACGGCUAUAUUAUUUUGGUCUUCAUUGGGUGGUCACAAACAAGUUAGAAAUAUUGUAGGAAAAUUUCAGGUGUAAAUUGUGAUUAGUACUAUCCAAGUUUCUAAAUUCCAUUGCUGUUGUACCGCGCAGCGGCCAUAGGGAAUCUAAAUUCACUAAACUGGGUUUAAGAGGACUGAUAAAUUUUUAGAACAAUUUCCUCUACUUCACCUUUAUGAUAUGGCUCUGGAAGUGUAUUUUUGGAUAACAUUUUGUGGUUUUUUGAAUGUGCACAUCAAAACUGAUUAUGUGAGAGGGAAAAAUUCCUUCUGAAAUGUUGGUCAAAGAAGACUGAUAUUUUGUACUAGAGGUUCUAGAAAGAUGGUACUAACCAAAAAGGACCUUGCAGUUGCAGGUCUCCUAACCUCUAAAGGCCUUAAAAAUGACCUGACAUUCCUCUUAAGAACUACCCUCAUAUCUGUAUUUUAUCAUAGGUAGCUAAACUAUAACCACUUAAUAUUCUCAUAUGCACAUGAUAAUUUACUUGAUUAUUCUUGGAUAAUUUCAAUUGCUAUCACUAAAACUUUGAUCUUAAAUUAAUUUUUCUGCAAACUUAUUUUUCUGUCAAAUGAACUUAAAGUGAACUCCGUUUACACCGACUAUGUAUGUAUGUUAGGGGUGUUCAUAUUGAAGUUGAUUUAAAUGAAAAUUGCAAACUGUUUUUUUUUUUUUUUGAUGUCCGGGGUUUGAACUCGAAAAAACUGAAUAUUAUUGGACCUUCUUCUCUAAAAAUUGUUCCGAUUAUAAUUAGUAUUAGAUAUUACAUUAUUAUAUUAUUUGUUGAUUUUCAUUUUUUAAUGGUUUAAUUUAAUUUAUACUUUUGGUCAAUAUACUUUUGACUAUUUUAUAUGUUACAAACAUAAUCAAUCAUUCUUAUUUUAUAAUAUAAAAAAUUUAGUAUUUUUGUAAUUUUUUUUUGAAGUAAAGUUGUUUGCAUUAUGUAAUUAUAAAUUGGAUCAAGCGAAACUAAGGCCAAUUUAAUUGAACCAAAUCAAUUCUUCUAAAGAAGACACCUAAAAAAAUCUUUUAAAGAGGACAUCCAAAAUGAACAAAAUCACAUAAGACUCAAAUCUUUGAAUCGGAUAAUUUUUUCAUCUCAAAAUGAAUACAAACUACAUUGCAAACAUCCUUUAUUUUCAAAUUCUAUUGAUAUUUUACUUGUUGAGAACCACUACGUUGGAUCCAUUGGACCAGGUUAAUUUCCACAACAUAAAGAAUCCAUGUUUAGAUAAUGACUAAAAAAACACUCAUAUUUAACGUCCAUUUUUAUUUUUUUUUGGUAAUGACAUCCAAUAUAAAUCGAAUAUGAUUAUUUCUACUGGAGCAAAUCUUUAGAAAAAACAAAUUCUAAUUGACAUUUUAUUAAAAUACAAAAACUUUUCAUAGACUUGAGUCCUACGAUACACUGUAGUGUUCUCAACCAUAACAUAUCGCAAACUUCAUCUCCCCCGAAAACGCGUUACUCUGCAGGUUUCAAUCACACUCAUCACCGUCGUCGCUUUCACCUUCCAACCGACCUCAACCACCGCGUCACGUCACUCUCCGUUUCCAUAUCUUACCUCCUCCCAAACUUACUUUCUCACCCCCCAACCUCACACUCUGAGGAAAGAGGGGGAAACCCUAAACUCCUCACAGAUCGAUAAUGAAUCUAGCUUCUCCUCAAUAACACUCUUCCGUAAGUCUUCUCCUUCCAAUUCACACUCAUUUCCUUAAUUAUCCAUCAUCUUCAAUUACUUAACCCUAAUUUCAAUUUUCACUUUAAUUCUUUUACCAUUUUUUUGACUUCAUUUGACUUUCACGCUUAUCAAAUCAACCAACUGUAUCUUUGUAAGUUGUAGCUUAUAGUUAAUUGAUUUUGAAUGUUUAACAGGUGUUGAUACUGUAAUUAUUAUUAUUAGGAGGAAUCAUGUCAAGGCCUAUGUUGCUUGUUUUCUUGUUGAUUAUACUUAUAAUCACUUCGCAAUUCGAGUGGAAGCAACCACUUGUGUCUGAUGUUGAGUCCAACUCUAGUGUAACUCAAAAGCAACAUCGUAUUUCUAAUGCUGAAGAAACUGUUAAAGAGAAGGUUUUUCAGUUUUUUCUUAUCUCUUAUUUAUGUUUAGUUUAUGAAUUAAUGAUAAAUAUCUCUGUUUUCGAGUGUUUAGUUGAUAUAAUUGGUAGGUUUAGUUGAAUUAAUGGUAGGUUUGGUUUGUGACUGCAACCCCAAUAGCUUAGAUUGUCUCUUGCAUAUUGUUAUUGUUAUAGGCUCUGUUUGGAUAAACAACUUAUUUUCAGUUUAUAACAUAAGUGCUUAUCAUGAUAAGUGCUUGUGUAUAAUGUAUUUCUAUAGCAACUAAUGAAGUAAAGAUAGAUUAUUUUUGUAUAAGCUAUAUAGGAGAAUUAAUGAAAAUAAGCUGAAAAUAGAUUAUGAACAAUUUUAUAAGCUGUUUUCAUAAGUUAUCCCAAACAGUCUCACAAAACUUAUGAAAGCAUAUAAGCUCAAAUAAGCCAAUCUAAAUAGGCCCAAUGUAUUGUAUCACUAUGUAAGGGACUCAUUUACAAGAUUGUGCACAUAGCAAUAUAACAUAGUUUGGGAAUAUCAACACCCAAAACAAAUCUAAAUUUUAAACAUUAGCAUAAAUCUCAUCUUGCACUUGGCUUAUAUCUCAGGGUGGAGUCCAGUCAAGCGUUAUUUAUACCGUGUCAUUUCAUCUGAAUAUUUUUUCCGGAAAAACAAUUGCUUGACUAAAUUAUUCGCAUAGGAUACCGACAAAAAAACCAUCAAACUCACUGCCCAGGGAACUGAAACCCAUUAGCAACAAAAACCCAUAUUCCCUGAAUUUUUUACCGCCCUUUAACAGCAAAAGGACCAAUAUAAUUCCCUGUACUAACAAAAAUGUCUUUGAUUUCAAAAUCCACGUAUGGUUAACUUCAAACCUUAGAAUAGUAUAGAAAUGACAGAACCUUGAAUGAUAAACAUAUUUUGUAAUCUCUUCUUCAUAUUGAAGAUCUGUAUUCUUGGGCCUUCACUUUUGUGGCAUUAUAAUGAUGGAUUUAAAGAAAGGGAAAUGCUAACAAGAGCCCUAGUGCCCUGAGGGCACUUGAUGGAUUUAAAAAUUAGAUUUUAUUUUUUUUCAAUAACCAUUUUAUUCCUAUGGAACAAGUUCCCGUGAUGGGCAAUUUGAGGAAUACAAUUACCUUUCUGAUUACUUUAAGAAAAAUAAUGAAAAUAACUAUAUUUACUAAAGUGUGUGAUUGGGUUUUAAUCUGAUUGGUUGCUUCCUUAACAAAAUGAUUAAAAAUGGCAAUGGGGUAGCAAUUUGUUAUGAAUUUCCUUUGCACAUCUUACCAAUUCUUAACCAUUUAGAACGGAUAUAUUACUUUAUAUGGUAACUUGGAGCUUUUGCUUGGGGAGUUGCAUUUUUUUUAGCCCUUUUGGUAUUCAUUGGCAUUUUGUUGGGGAAUUGUGUGCACGCACAUAAGUGUUUAUAAAAUUCAUCAGCAAUGCUCAAGUUCUGUUCAAUAAUGAAGCACAAAUAUGUUUGUUUCCUUCACAUUACGGCAAAUUUUAAAAUAAUCUCUUUACCCGUCCUCUCUUAUUUUCAGCCUUCUCUCUCAUUUCCUAAUUCUAGAAUUUUCUCACCCACUACUCUCUGCAACUUGUUCCAUCUGUUAGUCGCAGCCCAUUUUGAGUGGGUAUUUUCAAUAUUUCCUAUCCUCCUAACCAAUGUAGUCAGAAUCGAGAUCCUACGUAGGAUUGGUCGGCCAGUGAAAGAAAGUAAACACAAGGCACGUAACACGGUUUGUAAGUAGGAUCGGUAGGUUGUUGAUAGAGUUGAGAGGAAUAGAUAGAGAAAAUAGAGGAAAAACAGAGGAACCAAGCAUAAAAACAGAGAUAAUAGAGGAAAAACAGAGGAACCAAGCAACAAAAUAGAGAAAAACAGAGGAAAAACGGCAAAAAACAGAGGAAACAGAGGAAAAUGGCAAAAAAACAGAGGAAACAUAGCAAAAACGAACCGGAGUAAAGUCGAAGGAUGGUCGAGGUUCUGUGGAACGUAGAAUCGUACUCUCCUACGAGCCAGCACUCGAUCCUGACUACACUGCUCCUAACUACUGAGGAUCUAACAUACUCCCCCUCACCCCCAAAAGAUUCACAGAUUUGAUAAAUUUGACCGAUUUGUGCAAGGAAACACAAAUGUGUGCAAUCAAUGAAAUCUUAUGAAAAACAAAUAUGAGUUUCCUUCUCAUAUUAGUAAGGAGUACAACUCCAAUCCAUUGCCCUUCUCAUAUUAAUAAUAUAUUUCCAUACUCUAUUUCCAGAGUAGCACUAGUAAUAUUCAAUAUUCCAUUCUAUUUUGCUUGGUUCGUAUCUACUUAUCAUAUAUUUUUCAAGCAUAUUUGUCUUAUCAAAUUGGAUACCCUGCUUCUAUUUUGUUUAUCUUAUACUGUAAUUCUUUCGAGUUAAAACAUUUCAUUUGAGUGAAUUUUGGCGAUGCAAUUUAAAUGUUGUCUCACUGGGAAUAGUGAUGCAUUUAUGGGUUUAGAUUUGAAUGUCUCUUUUUAAGAACAUUUGCACUUGUAGAAGAUAUAUACAAUGUUCAAUGGAACAUCACAUUCGUUGGAAAAUUGCAUCCUAUCCUCUGUAUGAUUCAAUGUUUAUCAGUCAUUAUAUGAAAAUAUUGUUCUAAAUUUUGGAGCCUGAGCCAUAAACUCUCUCGGUGCUAAAGACAAAAUGUGUCACACCAAAAACGAGAUAAGAGUCAGUUCAGAUAGAAUAUUCUCCAAAUACUUGUGUUAGAAAAGUUGAAAUAGUCUAACAAUGAUUAUGGAGUUUUCUAAACAACAAUUGUGUGCAUAAGUUAAGAUCAGCUUCGACACAAUCUCCAUAAAUGGUUUUAUCAUGAAUUAGAAAUCAAAUACUUAUAUCAGCGGAAAAACUCUUGUACAUUGCUCCUUGCGGUCCUAAAUAAGAGAAAGUUAGGUCAAUAACCAGUCCUAAAUAAGAGAAAGCGAGGUCAACAAAAGUCAAUGUGUUUGGUCUCUGACAAAAUACGUCGACUUUUGUUGACCCAAUUUUCUCUUACAUUUAGGACCAUAGGGAGUAAAAUCUAUUUCAAGUUGGCCCAUGUAUUAUGAUUCUUGUCAUCAUUGUAUAUAACUUAGUGCUAUAUCUUUGUAUAAUUGUUACAUGUUUCACGUGUAAGCUUUCUAACUCCAAAUUUUAUAACAGAUAAAUAUCUGUUGUGGCCAUGCUAUUUUAAUUUUACUGAAGUUCUCUUUAAAUGAUGGUGCUCUCUGCAGAUUAUUUUAGUACAGGAGAAGAAUAUUCGAAGACUUAAUGAACUUGUGCGGCAUCUUCAGGAACAACUGCAGCAGUGCAAAGGAAGCAAUGGAACUAUAAAUAGCACCGUAGGUCCUCUAACUGAGCGGAUUCUUGAGCUUGAGCGACAACAAAUUUUAGAGGAUUAAGCCUUUGCAGCAUGUUAAUGAAGCUAAUCUUGAUGCUCUAGUUGUAAAGUUGUUUCUUAAUUCCUUCAAAAGGGGUUGUUGUAAGUUGUAACACAUUUGCUACCUGUAUGAAUUACUAAUUUGAGCUCUAUCUAAAUGUAAGUCACUCAUCAUUUGUAUGAUUUAUUAAUAUGAGCUCUAUCUCAAUGUAAGUCACUUAUCAUUCGACUAGGGCUGGAAAUGAGUCGAGUCGAACUGAACCUGUCUGAGCUCGGCUCGACUCGAUAAGAAUUGGUUCGGCUCGAAACUCGGCUCGAGUUCGACACGAACUAUUUUUUCAGCUCGAGUUUGGCUCGUUUAAAGUUCACGAACAGUUCGGUUCGGCUCGUUAGGUUCAGUUCGGUUGCUCAACUCGUCCAAAAAAAAUUAUAAAAAAAAAGAAGUUAAUUCAUAGAUCUUUGAUAUUUUAUAUAUAAAUUAAAUAUUGAAUUAAAAUAAAAGUUCCCACAAACAUGCAUAUAAUAGACAUAAAUUAUAUAAAGUUAAAGAUUGCAUAAAUAUGAAGAAAAAUAUCUGAUACAAGUAACAGAGACAAAAAAAUCCAACAAAAUUCAAUUAAUUGUGAACAAAAUUCAUAAUAUUCUUUUACUUUUAAACUCCAACUGCUCUUCCCUUCAAGACAAAAUUGUAUUCAGCCACAUUUGUCACAUUUGAAUUAAUUUUUUUUAAAAACUAACUCAAAUUGAUUUAUAUAUAUAAUCAAUAAUCGAGUCAUCUCAUGAACCUAACGAGUCGAACUAUAUGUAGCUCAAGUUUAGCUCAUUUAAUUAACGAACUUAAUUUUCAGCUCAAGUCCAACUCGUUAGGUUCAUGAACCAAGUUCAACGGAUUAGAUAUCGAGUCGAAUGUCGAACUAUAAUCGAGUUGGUUUGGUUCAUUGUCAGCCCUAUAUUCGAUGGAAAAAUGCAGUGUUUAAAUAUUCUGUUCACCGAUAAAUAUCAAAAUAUGGCCGUGAACCUACUUGGGUUGGCUUGGGACCUUGGAAUGUGCUCUUCCUCAAGGUCUCAAGUUUAAAAAAAAUAUGGAUCGGCCGUUUUGUUAAGAAUAGAGUUAAUAUCAUGAGAACUGUGUGAAGAGAAUGGGUUGGAAAGGGAAUGCAGCAUUGCUAAUGCUAUGUUGCAAUAUUUGGCCAGAUGUGUUAUUAAUUUCUUGAAGUGGAGGUGAAAACACUAUUAGACGUUCGUUCAACAAGAAAUGUGCGCUAUUUCUUCAUACGUAUUUGAUGUCUUUCAUGAAUCUUGACUUCCCCUUUGAUUUGCUAUAAGUCUAUAACCUAUAGUUAAUCAAAAGUGACCAAGAAAAUUGUUUGAAAAUUCUGGAACGAAAUCUGUCUUUUAUCUAUUUGGACAGAGAAAAUUCAAUACGUAUAACUGUAUAAGUAAGAUUUGCAUGAAGGUGAUCAUUUGUUUGAGCACGCACGCAUUACGCGUAUAAAAAUGUCAACUACUAGAAGUUAAAAUAAUAGUCCUAGUUUAAUGUGAACAGAACUGCAAGGAAGGUCAUAACUUAAUUAAGGCACUCGUUUUUAAAUAAAUGGAAAAUUAAAUAACCUGUUGACAUUUUAGAAAAAAACAGGGUGGGUGGAUAUAUAAACAUAUAUAAAAACAAUCAUACGAGUUUCUUCUUUGUGUGUUGGUAUAGCCACUUUUCGUAAUCCUGAUCCAUUUCCUAAUAUUAAAAAGUGGAAGGUGAAGACUUUUUUAGUUUGUAUGUUAACCACGACUCUUCAACUAUAAAUGAAGACACACAACACAAAGUUUAUAUAAUGAAAUUAAAUUAAAUGUGAUGACAUUUUGUAACAUGUCCAAUUGUCCAACUAGAGAAUAGUCAAAUUGUUAAUUUAUAGUUCUCUUUAGCUUUACACAAAAAUAAUAAAGAUCAUUUACAUACAUCAGUAUAUGUAUAUGGUCUGGAUUCAGCAGUGCAUCUAAAAUUCCGGGUCAAUGUGAUCAAUUUCCUGUAUCAUUAAAGCAAACAGUUUCUCUUAGCAACGUGCAUGGUAUAAACUCUCUUAUUUUAGCUUUCUCCAUUACUAGCCACAAUUAAAUAAAUUUAAUGCUUAAUAUUUAAAGUCAAUCAAACACCUUCCUCCUCUGUUCCUUUCUCUUCAAUUGCACAAUAUAUAUAAUGACCCUAUUUGCUCCACAUAACAUAAACCACUAACAUAAUCAUAAUCCUAGAUAUUUUACUUCCUUUCAUUGCAACCAUUUUAGAAAGUUCUUAGGCAUAUCUUAGAAUCAGAACCGCCGAUACACUUCAACCGACGGUCUAUAAACUCAUCAUCGUCAGCUAUGUCUUCCGAGUUUUCGACUACUUCAUCAGUUUGUAGUACGGACUUAUCAUGUGUGUCUUCUGAGGCUGAAGAAGAGACAAGUGCUAUGGUUCUCCUAGGUUGUCUUCAAUGUCACAUGUAUGUUUUGUUAUCCGAGGCUGAUCCCAAUCCAAAAUGCCCUAAGUGUAAGAGUACUGUCUUGCUUGAUUUCCUUAACAACAAACAAAAUACCAGAAAAACAAGCAGCUAGCAAGAUGAUGAUGCACACCAUGUAUAAAUAAUCAGAAAGAUACAAAUUAACAUGUAUUUGUGCUAUUCUAUUUCAUGUUGCUAUUUAAUUAAUUAUUAUAUAUAGAUUGUUUUAAAAAAAUUAAUUAUAUAUAGAUGGUUGAUUACAUUUUCCUCUUGAAUUUGCUUUUCGUUAGAUUUCAAUGUUUGGAAUACAAAGGUAAAGAUAACCAUUUAAAUUUCAUUUCAUUUCACCGUAAUUGCGAUUUAAUAUUAUUGCAUAGGUCUUUAUAAUAUUUAUAUUGCGACUGUAAUUGCAGCAUAAUCCGCAAUUUAGUACUAUGAGAAAUACAAAGAUUGUUUUGAAUUGGCAAAAUAAGAACAUGCAAGUCAAAUAAAAAAAAAGACGAAUUGUUCGUGAUAAUUUGAUUCUUAAAUGGAACAAUAUUUUAUAAGAAUUUACUUAACUCAACUCUGAAUUACUAGACCUCUUUCCGCUAGAACUAGAGGGUGAACCAAAAAAAAAAAAGCAAGCAAGAUAGGUAGAAAUUUAUUAGUUUCCAGCGCCUCAUUUAAUGUAUGGGUAUGUACUAUCUAUUGAUAACUACAAGAGCUUGAACUAAUAAGCACCACACCCUCAAGUUGGGAGGUAAAGGUUGACGACACCUUAAAAAUCAACUCACUUAAUCAAGAGUUUAGCAUAGCUUUGGUAAUUACAUAUGUUGUUUGCUGAAGUUUAAGAAAGGAGAAAAGAACAUGUCUUAUAAAAUCACUAUCUCUAUCAGUGUAUAAAAUCACUAGGCUCAUGAUUUUUUUAUUAUUAUUAUUAUUAUUAUUUUAUUUAUAAUGUUUUUAGGUAUACACAACAAACUAAUUUUUUUUAUAGACAAAUGUUAAUAAU
rnacentral:lncRNA from 1 species